rnacentral:lncRNA from 1 species
AUCGUUCUGCCUAUUUGUGCUUUUUGGCAACAGUUCCUCUCUAUCUGAAAAAAUUCAAAUUAUCACUAACCAAGCACAAAUUGAAAAACUCAAGUCUCAUAGAUGUUCUUACCAGCCAAGAAUCACGUUGGCAACUAAGUAGCGUAAGGAAGUACUAUAUCCUAUACCUUCCAGCCCACAAAAUUCCAGUAACUGUAUGAGUGGGGAAACAAAAUCACUAUACUAUACAAGAAUCAGGAAAUGAAAUAUUCGGCUUUUCUAGACGUCAGGUUACCUACUCUGUAACAUUGUUCAACGCAUCAAUCAUUCUCUGUAACAGGGUUCUUCGUUUUAGUCCUCAGCAUGUCAGUGAAGUUGCCUCUCAUGAUUCGCAAGAAUCUCGUAUCUUCUGCUGGUUGAGGUGGCGGAACCAGCACGGCCUUGGGUGAUGGAGGCUGCGACUGCUGUGGAGACAAGUCCGCAGUUUCUUUCUUACCCAAUAUCCCGCUUUCCCCGAAGAAGCUGCUUACCGAUGAUGCUAUUCCUAGAUGAGCUCCCAUCACCUUACUUAUGGUUUCCAGAGUUCCGCCAGACCUUUCCUUCAUAAUUAUCUCAAGAGCUUCCUUGUGAGCUGGAUCUAGUGCAUCUGGGUCUUUUAGCAUGUUGUAUAUUGCUGGCAGCAGGUACUCCUUCACACUGUUUACCGAGAGAUCUGCAGUGUCCGGAGAUUAGACAAAAAUUAGCACUUAGUUUCUACAGAAACCGCAGCAUUUUAAGUCGGGUCGAAUUGGUGUUCAACAUACUGAACACACAAACCUGUAGCGUCGAGGGCACGGAUAGCUUCGCAAAAUGCAUUAGCCCUCUCGCGCCGACGAACAACAUCACUUGGAGAUGGUGGUACGCCUGAAAAGUUGAAAAUUUUCGAAAGGAGAUGUAUGAAACGUUAAGGAAACAAUGGGAUCACAGGCUAUUCAUCACCUUAACUGAGCUAGUGAAAUUAUAUGCAAACGACAAUUAUUAUAUUUUUCCAAUAAGUAAUGGAACUUCUUAAAUUUAGGAUAUAAUCUCUAAGUCUCUCAGUUGUGUGCGGCACUGCUACUGAUAAUGCUCGGACAACAGCGAUUGUAGCUUCAUGUGAUCCAUCUUCCAGGAAUGCAUCCAUUUGAACUCGUAUCUUAUCAACAAUCUGAAAAUGAUGAGUCAAAUAUUAGGGAGACCGGAUGUAAAUACCAUAAUCAGCGUUCCGACCAGAGAAAACCAUAUCCAUACCAAGUCAUUUUUGAAAUGUUGUGCCACUGCUCCAAACGAUUCUAUGCUGACGUGCUUCACGUUCAGGUUCUGGUCAGAACCAAGAGUUACCAGUGCAGGUACAACGUGCGCUGAAGCAACUUUGGUAUCAACAUAUGGGACCUGAGAGUGAGAAAUAGUUAAGAAUCGCGAGCUUCUAAAACAAUGAACUAGCUGUGUAGAAUGACGUUUUAAGAGGAUACAGAUUUUCUUACAAUGACUUUCAACAGAUUGGCAGCAUGAAUUUUCAUAUCUGCACUGGAGCUAACAACCAUUUCCCACAAAAUGUUAAAUAUCAUGCCGUGAUACUGCUCGAAAGUACUGCAUUAUUAAGAAAAAACUAUGUUCAUUAGUCAAAGCCAAAUUCUACGAUCGAGUAGUUGAACAGCAGUAAUGUCUAGAAGACAAACCAGAGAAACCGAACAGCGUCAACAACAUCCGAAUAGCGCCUAGCUGACUGACUCUCUUUCAGGUAGUUAUCGAUUAACAGCUUUCUCAAGUAGUCUGCUAGCUCUUCAUGUUUGCUGGGAGAACCUAAAACGCCAGCCAAAAGAAGGGGAAGUACACACGUUGUAGCCAAUCUUGUAGCAAUGGAAGUUUUUGGUUUCAGUCCUGCAGAUAUACUGCUGGUCAGAAGCUAAUACCAUGAAGGUAAUUGAAAAUGAUAAAUCAAGGUUCGUACCUUUGAUUCUUGAAUGUAUCGCCGAAGGAAAAAAGGUAAAAUCAGCAUCAUCGCCAACUGCUACCAAGAAUACAGGCAGCAUUAUAUGAGCCAGAUAUGAAUCCCCGAAAUUUUUUCCUACAGCUAAUAAGAACUACAACCAACAGAGUGUCAGAGAAAAGUGAGCAAGCAACAUAAUAGAAGGGGAAAAAAAUCAAGAUUUCGAGUUGGUACCAAAAUAACAAACCUUUGUAAUUCUGUUUCUCAGAUUGUCUUCCUUCUGAUGUAAUAAACAGGACAGAUUUAUAAGGGCUGGAAAGCAGUCCGCAUGCAUCCAUUCAAAUGCAGGCCAUUCCAAAUGUCCGCGGCUGAAAUGUUAAGAUUCUCUCAGAAGCAAUAACCGGAAAACUGAAAUAUAAAAUCUCAUCUGUGGUAGGAAAUGAAAGUUCCAUACUGAAAAAUUGGAAAUAAGAAAGUGUCUUACCCUGCAUAAAGUUCAAGCAACGGAUCAGAAAUUGUGUUAUUUGACUUCAAAACUGGAGAAAAUGGACAAGUCUCAAAAGCCUUUUCUUCAAUCAGUGGAAACAAUUCCACAAGCAUCCUUAACAAAACGUCAAGAUUCCAGCGUUCCCGUUCCCCUAAGACCCGUAGAUGAGACUCGAGUGAACCUUCAACACCAGAAAGUGGAGGGCAACGCUGAAAGGAAAAGUUCCGCAUAACGUGUGAGAAACAGAGCACAAAGAAAUAGAGCAGAAACUCUACUGAAACAAGCAUACCUGAGCACUACUUAAGGCAUGGGACAGUAGAACUUUCAAAAUGUGUUCUAAAUUGUUUCCCCAUUUUAUUACUGCAGGAAGCAGCUCCCUUAGUGUAGUUUCCACCACGAUUCCAGAAGGAUCACAAACCAGUUGGAACAUCAACUCUUCGACCUAUCAACAACAACAAAACCAAGGGGAAAAGCUUGAUUUUGAUUCUUUCCUUCACGCAUUUCAGUUUUUCCAAGUCAUGAUAUCAUGGCAUCAGGGAAAAUGGCCUCAUUUCCUAGAGGACCUGCCAUCAACCUAUCUAGAGCUUACAUUUCAGCCGUUUCUGUCAAAUGAAAUCUCCAUUAUAGACUUGAAGCAUAUAUAUUGAAGGCUGACCUUGAAGUAUUUGUCCACGUUAGGAAAUAGUGGAAGCAGCAAAGCCAAAUUAUGAGCAGCAGCAUCUCGAACAACAGUUGCAGAAUCCUCAAUUAGUUGCUGUACAAUUGAAAGAAUUAAAGAAUCCCGGAUCUCAGGCCUGACAAAUUCUGCAAUCUGUCCACAAGAUUGAGCAACAAGUAGUCUGCGUUCUUCAUACAUAUGAUUUAUCUGCAUAAUACACAAAUAACAAAAUUAGUAAAUCAGCAAGAAAACAACCAAGUGUGGAAAAAAAAGAGAAUACGGGAAAAUAUGAAACUCACUUGUUCCCAGCACUGAGGAAGCAAUUCUGUUUCUGUUCUCAUCUGUCCAACAUUCUUAGCCAGACUAAUGCAUGCCUGCCAUAAUUUUUAAGAGAAAACGAUAAAUCAGCUAUUAGUUUCCAAAAUGAUCUCAGCUUUAUAGACUUUCUUAUAGUAUGAUGUUGCCGGCUCGUGGCUGAUUUUAAACCAAAGCAAACAUUAUGAUAAAAUAACGCAUAUAAAGGGGCUAGAUAACUUCUACUGAUAUUUUAUUCUCGAUAUAGAAGUUCCAUUAAAAUGCGUCUUCCAUACAACUAAGAAAUAAAUAAACGUGAUCAAGGAACUUACAUCCAUAAUGAUUUGUCUCUGCUGCUCAUCUGGGCGUUUAAUCAAAUUGAAUAAUGUAUGUGUUAACGAAUCCCUUGUGUUGCCAUCUGGAUGACGCUCAAUUGCACACAUCAUGAGAGGGAGAAGCUCCUGUUACAUAUUGAAGCAAGAGACUUAGCCACUAAUUUAGUUAAUAAGCAGGAGAUAAGGGCAUUUGAAAUAGCACACCUCUCGAUGGUUUAUUAGAACAUAAGGUACAAUUUUGGGUAGAGCAUCAGCAAGGAUUUGGAUUGUCUCUGGACCCUGCAAGAUGAAAUGCAUUGGAUUAGAUAUACCAUACAACUGAACACCCUUAUGUUGGCAACGAGAAAAAAAGAAGAAAUCAUUUCUUCCGGUGAAGGAUAGUGAAACAGAAGAACAUUACAAACCUUACGAAAGGUCCAGGUCAUUACGAAAACAUUGUUCAGAAAUUUCAGAAGUAAAGGAGCCUCACGUAAUUAUAAACAAAUCAGGUCAAGGGUGCUGUCAUUUUAUAUUAUUUACUGCAGAAGGAGGUGAAUAUUACCGUAUUCUCUAACCAUCCGUCACAACCUAGAUUGUCUGAUUUUACAGAAACACCAGGAGUAGGUGAUGGCACUUCAGCAUUUUGUUCCACGAUUCUUUGAUUUCCAUCCACAGCAUUAACUGCCUCAUCAUAACUUCCUGGUACAUCCUGCAGAGUUCCCUCAGGCUUAUUCCUAUCUUCAGAUGAUGGUUGAACAUCUUCGUUAACUGCUUCAGCAUCAAUUGGACGAGAGAUGAUAGAUUUCUCUUCAUCAAUCUCAACCACCCUUUCUUCAGGUUGAGCUGAGUCUUUUCCAGAGGUUGCACGAUCCAUAGACUCAGAAAAAUUCAUACGUUUAGCUUUCAACUUUUCUAUUUCUAGAAGCAAUAAUUUUAUCUCUUCCUUAUACUUCUCAAGUGACGGGCUUUCAACAGUGUCAGCAUCAGUAGCCAUUGUGUUCCUACCAGAACGAUAUCCCUCAAUGUGCAUUUUUAAUGAAGUUAUUUCUGACCUGCAAUCAUUGAGGUCCUUUCUUUGGUGCUCCAGUGACUGUUUCAGCAUUUUUAUCUGGGAGAAAAAAAAAUUCUUACACAACUGGUAUCCGGUAAUUAGAAGACUAAUUUAGGAGGAUAGCUGACCUGAUUUUCCUUGUCCUUGAAAUCCUUCUGGAGAGCUUCAAACAAUUUAGUUAAACCACUUAACUGAUUCUCAGCCAACUCCUUGCCUUUUAGAAGCCUCUCCUUCUCCUCAUUCAAUGUCUCUCUCACUUUCAACAGAGAUUCUUUUUCUCGAAUCAUGGCCACUUUUUCCUGCAAGCCAAACAAAAGACCAUUUCAAUAAUGGCCAUCAGCAACAUUUACACUAGGCAUGAGACAUAGUCGUCCAAUAUAUUUAUUUGAUAUUUCAAAUCUUAUAUCAGCUCAGGAACAAAUAAUUGCAACCAAUAUAACAAAGCACCGGACAGAUAAUUUCUAACAUAACAACAUUCAGUCGGUGCUCUGUAAUUCGAUAUUACUCCACCGAUAUAAGCACAACGAUAAUUCACGAUCACAUCUAUCUAAAAAAUAAUAGUCUAAAUCGUUCAAAUUCUACACAUAAACCCAUGCCAAAGUUCAAUCUUUGUUUCUUGAUUGACACAUUAUGUAUUUUCCUCAUUUCAACUUUCAAGCAAUUCAACAGAAAGAUACUCUCCAAGCUUCAAAUGCACCACAUCAGAAGUAUCCAGAAUUUUUGAGCAAAACAGACAGAGUUCCACAUCAGAACAUGCUACGAAAAAUACCUCUGCUGCCUGUGAUGUGGACGAAAGGUAUUGAUAGUAAUAAUGGCGCAAUGCAUCCGGCACACUGGCAGGGGUGUCCUGCCAAACAUCUAAAUUCUGAUCUGUAACCUAAGAGAAAUAUUUAUCAAACAAUUAUAUACCAAUGUGCAAAACCAUUAAGAAGAUUAUGCACCGUGAAGUCUUACAUACCUCUUCGUAAAAUGUCAUAGCAGUAAGACGGUAUCCUGCCAAUCGUAGAUAUUCCUUCACAGCACAAUUAAGAUCCCUACGCUCAUUAUCCUUCAAAGGACCCAAGUCAUAGGACAAACCAUCUUGUUUUCGUCUUAGAAGCUCUGAUACUGGGCUCCCAGAUGCAUCUGGCUUUGACUCUGCACAUACAAAGCAAAAGUAGUAUCUAACCCCACUUUAUCGACACGGAAUAAAGCAAGGCUACUUAGCCUGGAGAAUGGAACUUGCAUUCCAAAUAAAAAAAACAUACCAAUAAACUGGGCUGGCGUUAAGUCCACUUUCUUCUGGAAAUCGGACUUCAAUUUUGAAAUGUCCUCGUGUGCCAACCGUAGUUCAUACUCACUAAGUGCCAAUUUUUCUCGAGUAGCUUCAUUUUCUUCUAGCAAACUCUGAGGGUCUGCAACUGCAUUUUUUUGUAACAGGAUUAAUUGAAUUAGUUACAUGAAUUGGUAGCAAACCCCUAGCUAUGUAAAAUACCAACAAGUGUUCAUCCGAAUUCCUAAUGUCAUUGAGUCAACUUCAGAAGCUAAGAACAUUGUCUACUAUUUACUUCAACAAGCAACUGUAAACUCCCGAAACAGAAAUGCUAAAGAAUACAGUCUUGUGUUGGGGAAUGCAAUCAAAUAUUACGGGAUGAAGAAGAAAAAAACCUCUAAGAGAGUUCAAGCGGGAGAUCUGGUCGGGAGGGAAGUUGGAAGGAUCAGAGAAGAAUUCCUUGAGGCGAAUAGCAUGGUGAUCCCUGCCAUCUUCGAGCAGCUCGUGGAGCAAUUCGAACGCCGUCAGCAGGUAAUUCUCCUCCAGCAAGAAAUUCACUACGCAAUUGCAGAGCGACGAUCUCUCUACAUCCAUCAUACUAGAAAUUCCUCCUGUCUUUCUCCUAACACAGUCCGUGUCUAUCGAUUACCAUUUCAGGAUAACCUUCCUCCGAUCUCUGCGAUUUCAAAUCUGUUGCCCGUUUGGAUCUGCAAAUUGAGAACCAAUUUUUCCAGGGAUCGAAGCGGAAGUGGCGCUGUGAUGCCGUUUUUCAGUUCUUGCUUGCCGUUUUUCAGUUCUGUGCUUGCCGUUUUACUGCUUUUAAUUAAUGUGUAUUUUGAUAUUCUCCUUUUUAUUAAAACUUAAAAUCAAAGGAAAGCCCCAAGACUAGCAUGUGAUUAAUUGAAUGAGGACUUAUGAAUGCCAUGAGGUCAAUAGUGAUCAUAUUGGACAUAUUAGGGUCAAUAGUGAUUAUAUUGGGGUUUUGGGAGUAUUUAUCGUAUAUGCGCUAUAAAACGUGAUCAGAUCAUCAAUAAGUUUAAGAAAACUGACGGAGGACGUAAUAGACAUCUGAACCAUAUACGGAGGUUUAUGUAUGUCCUAGGUACGUGUUUAAAAAAAAAUACUUUAAUUUUUGUUGUUUUAUAUUAAAUUUUGUCGCAUUUGAGAUUUGAGAUUGAAAAUUGUUUCACCUCAUUUUUGUAUUGAAUAUUNNNNNNNNNNNNNNNNNNNNNNNNNNNNNNNNNNNNNNNNNNNNNNNNNNNNNNNNNNNNNNNNNNNNNNNNNNNNNNNNNNNNNNNNNNNNNNNNNNNNNNNNNNNNNNNNNNNNNNNNNNNNNNNNNNNNNNNNNNNNNNNNNNNNNUCUUUUCCAACACAUCAAAAAUAAAUUUUUCAUUCAUAAAGUAAGAUAUAACUUUAAGUACAAAAGUUCCUAACAUGAGGUAUUUUCAUGGUUGAAAAGAAAGGAAAAAACAAGUAAUUUAAGAUAAUUAAAGUACUUUGCAUUUUCUAUAAUUUCUAAACCAAAUCUAUUAUAGACGCAAUACAAAAAUAAAUAAAUAUCAAUAAAUUUCUACUCUGACAUAAUGUCAUGCACGUUUGAAAGACUAAGAAAAAGACAACCUCAUAACCCGAACUAGAAAAUUGUUUAUGGGAGAAAUUUUAUGGCUUUUAAAUUCUUUUCCUUCUAUUAAUUUUUAAUAAAAUCUUUCUCCCAUUACUUCAUACAUGCUAUAAUAUGAACUAUAUUUGGAACAUGCAAUAUUUAAAGAUGAUAUUUCUUCAGGAAAUGCUCUUAUCUAUAACCACAAGCAAGGCCGGCCUUGGACCUAUGCUGGCAGGCCCAAACAUAAGCCCUAAAAAAAGUUGGGCUUCAUUCUUUAGCCUGUGGUACGACUAUAUGAUAUGUAACGAAAAUUAAGUAGUCCCAGCUCUAACCUCGAGCGUCGCGGCUCAUCUUCAUUCUUCUUAAUGUUGAAUUUCACAAAAUUUAUUUCCUAAUAAAUUCCUUCCGUUUAAAGAAUCUGUCAUUAAUGUUAAUUAAUAUUUCUGAUUUUCCAGACGUCAUGCAUGACGAAAAUAAAAGGGCAAAUCAUUCGAUCAGCGGCGAUAAAUACCCCCUAAACUCAGUGAUUCAAUCAUUCUCAAUCUUACAAACUCAUAUCUCAUUCGAUUAUUAUAGUCUUUCAUUAGUUCUUUUCACUUUCAUGAGUUCCUUCCUCUAAGACUCUGCUUUUCUAUAUAACCGUCCAACAAUUUGUCUCUAAUUCUUCAUCAUUAUCAGCGUUCAACAGGUAGGCUACAGAUACGAGGCGAAAGCUCAUAAUAUAUAAGUUUAUGCGGCCAAAAUUAUAAGAUUAGGGUUAGGACUAUUUUUAACUAAAUUAAGUCAAUGUUUUUACUAUUAAUUUAUUUUAUUGAUUGAAUAUUUGAUUUAGGUUUCUCACCCUUUUUUAUUUUUUAUUUUUUUUUCAGCAAAGUUUAUUUUGAUUUUCAGAAUUGUUACUUACGUGUUAUGCGUCGUUUGGAUGGGGGGGUUGAAACUCGAUGAAGAUUUGGUUCUAAAUCAUAUGUUUAGACACUUAAAUCGGAAAGAUAUUUAGGGUGAUUUGAAAUUAUCUGUUGGGUUCGAAGAGAAUUUCAUGGAUGAUUUCAAAUCUCCCAGGGAGAUAGAGAUUUCAAAAGAGAGAUGCGAGAUUUGAAAAUUUUCAUCAAAAUUAAUUAUUAUUUUCAUAAAAUUAUAUCAUCAUCCAAACGACGCGUUAAUCUUUUAAAUGGGUUAGCUAUGUGGGUAAUUGAUUAUAAUUUUUUGGAUGAGACAAAGAUGGAAGAGCUAAUAGAGAAUUUUAUUUCAGAAAAUGUUAAACAGGUAUUUACUUUGGUAAUUCUUUUAUGAAUAUUUAUGCAUUUUUUAUUUGUUUAUUUUUAACAUAUUAUAAUUAAAUAUGAAUAUGAUAAUUCGUGGUUGACAAUGAUUCUUGACAGGUACAUCGAUGCGCUUGAGAAUUUUGAAAACGAGCAGAGAAAGGAGAGGGAUUUGUUAGCUAGGUUUCACGGAAAGUCCAUGAACAACUAGUGGAACAGAUGCAUCGAUGAUGUGAUCAGAGCUUGUGAAAUCCAAGAGCUCCAGAGUGCUUAUAUAGAAUUGAAUAGCAAGGUUGACCUAAGGAGGAUCGAAGUCAUGUUGGGGAUUAAUAGUUUUAAUAAUCCAACUGAUUCAAUCAACAUUAAUCAUAGCAAUGUAAUGAAUGUGAAUGAUGAUGGUGGUGCCAUGUAAUGAAUGUGAAUGAUGAUGGUGGUGCCAUGUAAUGAAUGUGAAUAUGAAUGUAACUGUAAUGAAGUUACAUGAAUUGAUAUUUUAAACUCAUAUCAUCCUAAUUUAUCUUUCUCCAACUACAAUCGCUAUUUAAGAAAGGGUAUUGCUAUUCGUCGAGAUAGUUUUUAUACUUUUAUCGUCGUAGCAUGUUUGAAAUUACACGCUUGCCUUUUCAUCAAUAAAAUCCUAAAACUGUCACUCACUGACAAAUCACAGACGAUGAAAAAUUUAACGAAUUAUUUAAUCACCAAAGAUACAAAUCUCUAACUAAUCUCCAACAAUAAUCUUAAAUAAUCACCAUUAAUUCAACUACCAUCAUUAAUAAACCUAAUUUAGAGGAAAAACUUUUAAAUGUAAUUAAUGGGUAAUGUUGAUUAACCACCAUUAAUGAUGAUUAAUUGCCAUUAAUGUUGCUAAUCAACAUUAAAUGGUAAUUGAGUGUAAUUAGUGGUGAUUUACUGUAAUUAAUUAAAAUUAUUAUCGGAGAUUCGAAGUGAUUUAUGAUUUUAUAGACAAAAAGGGUAAUCAUGUAAUUUCAACAUACAAGGGUGAUGAAACUUUGAAACCUAAGGUGACCAAUAAGAAAUAAGUUCAGGAAAACCCCAGAUAGCAAAAUGGAUCAGGAUAAAUUCUUAGGUACACAAGACAUCAACAAUGAGGCUAGCAGUUACAAAUUUAAAUUGAAGAGCACAUUCCAUCCUUGGAGAACUGGAGAACACCAGAAGAGAAGACAAAAGAGAGAAUAACAUUAGACAUGAGAACCCCAAAAGGUUUUCUUCGUGUCAUUUGGUCCCCUUCAUAUACAGGUUUCCCACCACCAUGAAUUUUCAUUUGCUAGCUGAUUCCUCCCCUGAAGUUUCAUAUGGAUGUUGGGACAAUUAUAAGCAUGACUGAAACCAUUUGGUGUUGGGUUUUAUGAUUGGCACCUUUCAACAACAUCGACGUUGAUAGUUCUAAUUCCUCCCACAUUCUUCGUCCCCGAUCGUUCUCGAACUAGGAUCAUCACCUUCGAGUUGGAGCCCCAUAAACCCUUUUUCUUCCUCUUCUUCAUUUUCUACUACAUUGUUGUUAGCUGCUGCAUGAAACAGAUUCACAGCCUCUGUAGUUUUUUGUGCCUCCUCCAAUACCCGAAAAUAAGCAUAAGGGCCCCAACCUAUAACAGAUUUAACAAUGUGAUUUCAGCUAGAAUUGAAUUUCGGUUUUCAUCUUUUAUUCUGUGUACAUAUAAAGUCAAAUGAGCUGCUUGACAAAUUUGCCAGAAAAUCUCAAGGAAAGUAAUCAAAUGUCUUCAAAGAGAUUACCUUGAGGAUGGUAUGGUGGGGGGAAAAACUGCAGAUAGCAAAAUGUAGACACUACAAGCCCUGAAAAGAAAAUACUUACAACUGUCAGUGAAGCAACAUGGGGUGCACGUAAAUACCUGAAACGAAAAUUUUCCCGGAAUUUACCGAGAACACCGCCAGCGAAAACAUCCUGCCAAUGAUGCCAAUAGUCAUCCACACGAGAAAUGGCAACCAGACAUGCAACAAGUAGCGGGAGAAAGAUGACGCAUAGCUUUGCAAUGUGGCCUCUACAGUCAAAUGCUUUUACCUUUCCUGAUAAAUAGAGUGACAGGAAUCCUAGACCCGCAAAGGACCCUAAAGAUAGAUGGAAACGAUUGAAGUUAAGACUCUGAGCACUUCAAUAAUGAAGAAUCAACUAUAUGAAGACUUACAUGAAGUGUGCCCACUUGGAAAACUCUUAUGCCCUUCCUUUAUGACACCUCUAUCGCCAUGGCAAAUAACGUUUCCCAACUGAUCAUAAGCCUGCAAAAUAUUAAGCUUGUCGACUAGAUAUCACACCCGAAAACCCAGAGAGAAACAAAAGGACUGUUCAUUAUUAACUUCAUUAGACUAACAAUUUGAAUCUGGACAAUUGUUUAGGACAGUACAAGUUAUUAAGCAACAGCAGUCCUCAAGAAGCAUACAUCAUUUCCAUCGGGAAAACAACGCCAGAAGAAAUCAGGCCGAGGACGACCAACAGCAUUUUUUAUUGAAUCAGUGAUGACAGCUGUCACUAGGACGGAAAACAAGAGACCUGCACCUCUUCAAGCAUAAGUUCAGUGAUAUAAAUCCAUCUGCAGAAAGCAAAGUAUAAACGUUGACAUAUUGAAGUAGAAAGUACAUUACCUAGUAUAGCAUGGUGGAGAUCAUAGAUGUCUCUUCUUCGAAAAUACACCAAGAUGAAAAUCACUAUUGGUAUAAGGAUAGCAUACAUCUGGCAUAAGAGUUGGCAGUAAACAAGAGUCUGAUUCAGUACGUUCACUUGUAUGGAAGAAUUUCAUGUGAAACAAACUAAAAACUGAAUACUUACUGGGACUAUCCAAAUAGGAACUGUUUGGCUUUUCAAAGGGUACUUGAGAUCUGUCAUCAUAUCCUUCCCAACAAAGCGAUAAAAAGGAUGGAUAAUAUAAAGGAUAACAUCCAUCAGUACAAGAAGAGCAAGUAUGAGCCAAUCGUACAUGUGUUUCCUGGCAACAGUAGCUCCAUGACUUGUUGCAGUAUGAACUCCAAGGUGGACAUCACUCAUCUUGUACUGCUUCGUUACCUAAGAAUACCACAAUCCUGAGUGAUAAGAUUUCUGAUCCACAGAUGAAGAAUAAGAAAGCAUUGUGUGUCUGUAAAAAUGACAGCGAGGAAUCAUCCAUAUACGUAGAUUAAACUGUGGAUAUAGUUAAUAUCAAUAACGUGGCCAGCUAGUACUCAAGAAAAAAUGCUAUAUUCAAGAUCUUUUACGAUGGCACUGCCAUGCAAGGGAAUUUCCAGAAGAUAGUCUCCAGAAGAGGAAACCAGAAGAAAAUGACAUCAAGGAAAUGCCAAAUCAUUCCUGCAUUAUCUUGAGAUAUCCAAUAGAUUGUUCAAACCUACAAUAGCAGAAAUUUCUAACUUGACAUAACUUAAAGCUAGAACUGUACAGAGCACAAGAUUGCUAAACCUAAAGAAACAUACAAAAGCAUAAAGUGAACUAAAUGCCAAACGAGAGAGAAGAAAAGGUAUACCUCUUCAUUUGUUCUAUCUAUUAGAGGAAGAUGAAUGGAUGGAAGGGUUUGAAUAUCGCUUGCAGUAAUCUCUGACAUCUUGGCGGAUGUCCUGAAUAACAGAAGGACAACAAAAUUGUAAACUAAUUAGUAACUGAGUUUGGAUAGCCUACUGAUAAUACUCCUGACAAUUUGGAUGAACUAAAGCUACUAAUUUCCCCAGGUGAAAACUUGCAAGAAGUUCGGAAACUAAUUAGUAAUUGAGUUCUACUUCUAUUCGAAUGCUUAAUUAAUUCCAAACUUGCAGUCAAUGUCAAGGUUCUUCAAAGACGCCAAGACAAGAAAGAUCACAGAAGCAUUUGCUCAAGUAUAGAGGAAUCAUUGUAUUUGCAGUGGGAUCACAAACGAGGGAGAGACGACGAAAACCUUCAAGUAGGGAAAUUAGAAAAGAAACCCGGUAAAACCUGAGCGCUUGAACAGCCAAAAGCGAGAUCGGGGUUCGAGAUCCAAUCACUGCAUGAUUUCGAAUGAAAGAAACAAAGUCCCAAGGGAAAGCAUAUCAAAAUUCAAAAUGGCUUACUGGAGGAAUGGAUACGUGUGGCUGAGCUGCAAGCAGACACUCCAGUCAACAGGUCAGGGAAUGGACCCUCCUCCAGUUUGGUUGAAAGCAGCAGCUCGCUCAAAUGGCGCUUGGUGACCUGAUUCUUCACUACCCUCCAUCCCAGCUGACCCAAAAUAUAGUUAAAAACAAAAUUCACAAAGUAACUGUAGAGCUACACCUUCCCAACAAAAAUUGCAGUGGUAAAGUAAUAGCGCCAUAGAUUAGCAGCAGUCAUUCUUCACACAAAUCUGUUGAUUUAGUAGUGAUUUACUAACUUAACGGAAGUGAAAUAAUUCAAACUUACUAUGCGUAUCAAAGGAGAAACAAUUCAAACUUUAGUGAUACUUUACGAAGUUAUUUUAAUGCUGUGCAACUGGGGCAAUUUCAAAUGGGCCGUGGGCCAAUUGCGACGGCCUACGGACUUGUUACUCAGCCCAUCACGAUAAUUUGGACGGACAAAAAAAAGAGAUCAACAAAUGAACACCCGCUAAUAAUUUACUAUGAUGUCAGCCUUCUAGAUGCAGCGUGGGAGUAUCUUCUUUGACCAAUCUGGAAUUAUUUUUCUUCUUUUUUAAUUCUGUUGAUCAGAAUCCUUGCGGAACAUGCAACCGUAUCCGCCGUCUGAACUUGUAUUUAAUUCAAACAUGUGUUAGCGGAUGAAGUUUUGUUGAUGAAUUAAAAAACAAUUUGAGUUACGGUUACUGAUUUGUUAGUCCACUUUUUUAUACUAAAACAUUACAAACCUAAGAGAUUUCGCUUGAGCGACAUGUUUAUGAAUACUAUUAAAAUUUAUUUUAAAUUUUUUAUAACAAUCAAAGUAUUAGAAUACAACGGUUCAUAAUAAAUUGGGACUGGACCGAUCCAACAUGGACAAUGAGAUAAGCAGAGAGAGCGGCCGGACCGGUUUGGGUUUGAGUGUUAUAUAAUCACUCUAUCUUCCGUCCUUCCGUCAACAGCCGUUAAUUAGCUCGCUGGAUCAUUUGGUGUCACUGUAGUGCAGAAGACAGCUGCACCAAACUUAUAUUAAAAUUAACAAUAAAAUUCUUUCUAGACGUAAGAAUCAGAAGGGGAUAAUUAAAACUAAUAAUAUAUAAUAUAUAGAUUUGAUCUUUAUACCAUAAAAUAAUUCAAAAAGUUUGAAACCGCCAUUGUUGACUUUCUUGACCAUUUACUUUCCAAUUCCAAUAAUUCCUCCCAUAUUUCCUCCGCCUGCCGCCGUGUGCGCAUCCCCAUAUAAAUACGCAUUCCCUCCACCAAUUCAAUCUCCAUCCAAACUUUUUCCGUUCUCAAAUCUCUCUAACCUUCAAAGAAAAAUCCACUCUCUUAAUAAUCAAUGGAGCUGAUUCCGACGUCGUGGAACAGAUACUGGAGGAGGAACAGAUACCUAAAGCUGAGGGAGGCCCCCCUGCGGAAGAGGAACAUCCAGGUCGCUAGGCUCGGGAACUCCUCCCCUGGAAGGUUGGGGUGGAGGAUAAAGGUGGUGCCGAAGCUGAGGCUUAGAGUGGUGGUAUCGGCGCCGUUAAAGCUGGUGGCGAAGCUGAAGAACAGCUACGUAGACAUGAUGGUCAAACUGGCGGGGAGCGUUGGGUCGUUGAAUACAAACAGGGUGUUCGGGAACAAGAGGGUUCCUAAAGCGAGGCAGCUCCGGAUGUCUUGCUCCGACCAAGAGUUCCAGAACCGGAUUAUUUACGAGAUGUUUAAGAACAUCUCGUCUGCUCAUGAAUUAACUCCUUUGUAGUUGAUUAAUUAAGUUACGUUGUUGAUAAUUAAUAUGUUCUGCUGGGAAUAAGUUGUUCCUCUGUAGACAGCGGCUUUGUGUUGUUGGGUCUGUAAUUGUGUGUUUAAGGAUGAAAAGUCAUGCACGCUGGCUGCCUGGUUUCAUUGCACCGUUUGGAUUUGAAUGGAUAUUCUUUGUAUUCGUUUAUUCAUUUAUCAAUACAAAAAUGAAGAUUGUCAAUCACCUAGACAUUUGUCAGAAAAAAAAGUCAAUCACCUAGACCACUCCAAAUUAGCGAUUCUUUUCGUUAAAGAACAAGAGCUGUAGUUUUUUUUUAUCAAUGAUGUGAUAUAUAUAUANNNNNNNNNNNNNNNNNNNNNNNNNNNNNNNNNNNNNNNNNNNNNNNNNNNNNNNNNNNNNNNNNNNNNNNNNNNNNNNNNNNNNNNNNNNNNNNNNNNNNNNNNNNNNNNNNNNNNNNNNNNNNNNNNNNNNNNNNNNNNNNNNNNNNNNNNNNNNNNNNNNNNNNNNNNNNNNNNNNNNNNNNNNNNNNNNNNNNNNNNNNNNNNNNNNNNNNNNNNNNNNNNNNNNNNNNNNNNNNNNNNNNNNNNNNNNNNNNNNNNNNNNNNNNNNNNNGUUAUUAAAAUACGAUACAAAUAUGGUACAAUAUUAAUAUAGCAAUACGUUUAAAAUAUCAGCAACAAUUAGAAAAUAUUAAAAUUCUAAAAUUAAACGGCUCUACAAUAGUCCGAGAAUGGAAAUUCUAAACGCAUAUAGUGCGUAUAUGUGUAUUAUACGAGUAUUAAACGAAUUUUUGCUAACUAAAAUAUGAUGGGUCUUGAAAUUGGAUUUCAAAUAAAGGCAUCAUGGUCAUCGCACAAUAACUUUCUAACAAACUAAAAAAUAUAUUUCAAUUACAAAUUUUAUCACCAAACAAUAUAAUUAGCAUUAUACAUUUUCUAAUUUCUGAAUUUCCUUUUUCUACUUUUUUCUACUUCCCAUUAUUUUAUACCAAACAAAACUUAAGUAUCAUAAAAAAAAGGGAAAAUACAAAAACAUGGUUUUCUGGUGCAUUGAGUAGGGCAAUAAAACAAGGAAAUGGAAUCAAACCACAGACCAAUGGAGAUCAAAAGCUUGAUAGUAGCAACGUGAUACAAACAAAGGCCUCGCUUACAGCGUUAGCCGAAGGAGAAGAGGAUAUAAGGGGAAGAUUCCAGCAAAGCAACAGGCCAAACCUGCAGAGCGAAAUCGCACCGAAAGAUUAGGAGUUCUGAUAUUCAUUGAUAAAAUUGGAACGGCUAGAUUGAAAUUGAAAAAAAUAAUUUUGAAUUGUUGGAUUCACUAUUGGAUUAAUCCAAGAGAAAUAGUUUUCAUUUUGGAAUUUUAGAUUUCAUAAGGAUAAUUACUUGUUCGUAGUGACUAGAUUAACUAGUACAUUGUUAAGAAUUAAUUUAAUACUUAAGCAAUAUUAGUAUAGUGAUUGUUUUUGUAUGAUUAAUUAGAAAUUAUGUUAUUAAGACCGAAUUUCAAAAUAAAUCAGAAGUUUAGAUCGAUUUUAAUUUGAAUUUCAGACUGGUUUUGGAUUGAAUUUUGGGCUGAUUUUCUGGUCAGAAAACCAACCCAAACUACAGCCCCAUCGCCGCCAUUAUUAAGUUAGAAUUAAUGAAGAUUUUGGGCCAUUUUCAUUUAAAUGGAUUGGUAUUAAUUUUGUUUAGGAUAAAUAUGGAGGUGGUUUUGUGUUUGAAGAUACACAUUUUUUAUAACUCACAUCCUUCCAUACAUUAUAAAAAAGGUUUUUUUUUUCACUUUUAGACAAUAAAAAUUACAGAAUAUUUCGGAAAGAAUCAAGGUUUCAUCUUUAGUGCUUGAAAGGAAGGUUUAUUUCUUUGGUAAAUAUAAUGAUUAUUGGUAAUGACGGUGUAGUCAUUGUUGUUCUGUAAUUCUCGUAUACACACACGAAAUAUCGCAUCUUUCAAGUUCUCGAAGUUCUUCAAUUUCAUUUAGCCUUGAUUUUGAAGGUGUUAGUAGUUUUAUCCAACGAAAAAAUUCCUUAUGACCCUAGACUUUAGAAAAUGAUGGGAAUAUUCUUUUCGGAAAGUGUAUGCGUUCACGACUCUAUUGAAAUUCUAGUCACGACUUGCUUUAGUCGAUCACUAAUUGGAAGGUUUUCAACCUUCGAGACGGAACAUUGCAGUUCAAGUUAACACAUUCUGAAGCCGUUUGCGCUUUUUCGUAAGCGGUACGCAAUCACGAACUACAUGGACUUUGAUCCUAAUUUUGUUAAAAACACCCUAUUAUUCACCGUCUUAUGAUUUUUGUUAAAAACGACAUAAUUAUAUAUAAAUAGCGUAAUUGUUUUUUUACCGAACACAGAAAUCGUAAACUUUAUUCUGUCAAAAUUGUUUUCCAACGCAUCACCAACAAAGUUCCGACGAGCUACCAGCAAUCAUCUGCCGAUCCCAUCUUUCAUUGUUGAUAAUCGACAAUCAAAAUCCGGUCAGAAAAAAAUUCAGUUCCAUUGUGUUAGUAAUUUACAAACGCAGUCGAUUCAUGGAUAAUAAUAUUAUUAAGUGUUCAUCAUGUUUGAUUAUUCAAUCCGCUUUCUGCACAGAAAUUACAAUCACUGCAACUGAAUUGGUUGGUUUCUUUUAAGAAAAAAGUGUGAUUUAACAGUUGCCGGCGCCGGCGAACGGGCAUAGUUACAGUCAAGCGGCUCUUCAAUUUCAUAGUUUGCUUGCAAGUUAAUUAAAUACUGUACAAUUUGAAGUGGCGUGGCUUUGUAUGAAGAAAAUAAGACAUUAAUCAAAAUUACUAUAAGCUAAACGGAUCUGAUCGAAGCUCAGUAGAAGAGAUCGAGGGAUGAUCGUUGCACGAGAGUGAUUCAGUGAAUUUGGUUUAGAGUUGUUAUAACCGAAAAGAAUAAUUAUAUAAUUCGAUAUGUUUGAGGGUAUUUUAUUUAAAACUUUGGACGCCGAAUAAUAAUUCAUGAACGGGGGAGGAGUCAGGGGAGGAGUCAGGUUAGGAGACCUCAGUCUUCAAUCUUCACACACAAUUGAGGAGUCAGAUUUGUUUAUUUUGCCAGAGCUUCGAUUGUAUAGUUAGUGUGUUUAAUCCAGAAAAGGUGUACUGAAAUGAUAUUGUCAGGCUAGUAGUGGAAGCAGCGUGGGGGCAUUUUCUUUGACCAAUAUUCUGCAACAUUUUUAAUUCGGUUGAUCAUUGUCCUUGCAGAACAUUCUUACUAAAAUAAUAUCUUUUUUUUUUAAUUUAAUCCGAGUUUUAAUUAAAACAUGUGUUGUGCAUUAAAGUUGGCCAGAUUGGAAAACAGAUCACUAAUUGCAUGUAAACAAACAAAAGUACCUAAUGGCGUCCAGCAGCUGAUCAUGACAAAAACUUGAGCAACUCUUUUGUCGUUUUCAUACUAAUCACUGAACUACCAGCCCUCCAUCACCGUCCAUUCAGCCCUUUUAACACGAAACCAGUGUUUUUUUUUCAAUAGACCGAAACUUUCGAUCCGUACAAAAUAGAAAAUAUAAAAUAAACACAAUAGAUGUUCAUUUUGUAUGUGUAUUGGAUUCGAACUCGGAACCUCCGGAUCACCAAACACACAACAUUACUAUCGGAGCAACUCCAUUUGGACACACGAAACCAGUGUUGAUUAGUUAGAUUUUGAACAACUAAUUAAAAUAAUUUUUUAUGAUUUUGAUGUAGUAAUUAACGAUUCAAUUAUGAUUUAUAACAUUUUCAGUAGUUAAACAACAAUUGGUGGAAUUGGGCCGAAUUUUGGUUCACCCCAGUUUCGAUCCAGACCACUAAUCUUAAGUGUCUAUCUAAGUUUGGCUCAGUGUUUGGUCGUAUCUGAACUAGAGGGAGCCAUGAAGGAUCCGGAUAUCUGAUUUCCUGAUCACAAGUACUAAAUUAUAUGUAAAGUUUAGAUGAUUUCGUUAUCCGGCUUACGGUAUUUGAAGUUAUACUCCUCUAAUUAUUUAUUUUGACUAAAUAAUCUAUCCUUUUAAACUUAUAACCAACCUAUUACUAAGUAACUACUAUAAAUUUAGUUAAAAAAUUUAAAUACAGGAAAUAAAUUUAUCCAUUUCACAUAUAAUUUUGUUUUAACUAAAAGUCGUACAACAAAUAUUUGUUUAUAUUUGAACUUAAUAUUAUGUUUCAAAUAAUGUAUUCGUAAUUUAAUUACUCAAUACACAAAUAAAAUUUUUAAUUCAAAUUUAUCUCGAUGCAUUUUCUAUUAUAAAUCCAAAAUUAUUGUAAACAACAUGUUGUUACACUCACCGAUUUAAAGUUCUGAUAUUAUUCCAAGAACCCUAUGAAUGUCUCAUACAUAUAUAACUUUGAAACAGCGUCUGCUGACUUUGUUUGACCCCAUGACUUAAUUGUACAACACACCCAAACUAUUUGUAUUAAAAAAUUCAGCAUUCCUCCCAUAAUAAUUCUCUUGACUUGCUGCAUAUAAAUAAGCAUUCCAUCCUCCAAUUUUAUCUCCAUCCAACCUUCAAAAACAACAACAACAAAUCUAAACCUCUCUUACUCAGUCAUCACAAUAAAAUCGAUGGAGCUAAUUCCGACGUCGUGGAACAGAUACUGGAGGAGGAACAGAUACCAAAGGCUGAACGAAGCCCCCAUCCGCAAGAGGAACACCCGAGUCGCUAGGCUCGGGAACUCCUCCCCCGGGAGGUUCGGGUGGAGGAUAAAGGUGGUGCCGAAGCUGAGGCUGAGAGUGGUGGUCACUGCGCCGUUAAAGCUGGUGGCGAAACUGAAGAAUAGCUACGUGGACAUGAUGGUCAAACUGGCGGGAAGCGUGGGGUCGUUGAAUACCAACAGGGUGUUUGGUAACAGGAGGGUUCCUAAAGCGAGACAGCUACGGAUGUCUUGCUCCGACCAAGAGUUCCAGAACCGGAUUAUUUACGAGAUGUUUAAGAACAUUUCUUCUGCUCAUGAAUUGAAUCCCAUGUAGUUAAGUUGAGUUAAGUUGUUCAUAAUUACACCAUCUGUUUGUAAUUUCUCGGGUUUGUUUGAUUAUACCUUCCUUCAUUUGUGCCAAUGAAAAAUGAAAAAUUGUCAACCAACUUCGGUAGUAAAGGAAGGCUGUACUAGUUGUGAGCAGUGAGAUGAAAGUAAUAAACAAAAUGUACUGUUCCUAAGGUUGGGAUCGGGGCGGAUUGGGGACCGGUAGGGUAUUUAUUUUCCGUCGUUGGUCACUGUUUUUCCUAUUCCUCUAUGAUGAAUGUUAAAAUUCUUAGUGAUAAAGGUUAUUUUCAUCGCAAAAUUUAUUUAGCAAUUUCUAAUUGUGUUCAUAUUAUCACAUCAACAACUUUAACAAUUAAAUAAUUGAGUAAUUUCUAACCACCUUCAUCUCUACAAUUUUUAGUAAUUUAUAAUGAGUAUUUAUGUGUUUCUUAACAAUAUUCUUACACCAAUGAUAAAUAGGUAAUCUAUAAAGUAUUUUGUACUCAUAAAUAUUUUGUUUAAAAAUUAUAUCUUGACUUAUAUGACAUUGCAAAUUAACUUUUUAAAUUAAAAAUCUCGCAAAUUAACAAAAAAGUGUACAUCCUUAUAAUCAUCAUUUUCCCUGUAGUGUCCUACAACCCAUAGUACCUAGUCUCCUACAAACAACAUAAAACAUCAUCAAUUCCAAUUGAUAAUACUUUAAAAUAAAACUUACUAAAUUAAAAAUCUUGCCGAUUAACAAAAAUGUGUACCUCAUUGACAAUCACCAUUUUUCUUGUAGUGUCCUACCUCCUACAAAAAAAAACAGAAAACAUCAUCAAUUUCGAAGCUUCCUCCUCCCUCCAUUGUUGCCUUUCAAGUUUCACCUUCUUCCAUGAAGCGAUGUAUGUUGUUCGGUUCCUUACAAUUUUGUUGUUAUCAUAGUAGAGCCUUUACUUCCUUAAAUUCACACUAGCAUUAAACCCUAAUAGUUUGUCAUUUUGUGAAUUAAGGAUGAGCCCCAAACAAGAACAAAGAUGUAAGAAAUCGUAACUAUAGAAGUUGGUGCCGGUUUGGUUGAUCAUCCGCAACAUAAUUCCGAAUCACAAGUUCACAACACUAUCGACAUCGCUCUAUUACCAAAUUGCUCAAAUAAUUAGACUGCAAAUUGUUCCAUGGACGACGUUCAUCAGGGGAAUUGAACUCCAAACCUUUUGACUGAGCACCCAACACACUAACCAUAUCAACAGUAGAAUUUUUUAAUAUUAUAGGCAUUCACUUUUUUUUUUAAACUUUCUUGAUAUUUAAGUUCCAAUUUCAUAUUUAAGAAGCCUCUAAAUCCGUAAAAAUCAUGAAUACAUCAAGAAUGAUUCUCAGAGCUAGAUGAACGACAUAUGGCUGAACGAUGCGAUUUAACAUAUAUAGAACAAGAUCUAUGUGCUAUUUAGAUAAAGAAUGUAUUCUACGAUGCUUUUCAGAAUAUGAAAUUACGUUGUGGUUUGUUGUUUCGUUGAUAAUUGAAUUUUUUGUUGUAUAGUUACUUGAAGAGAGAUUAGGUUUGGAAUGGCUUGAGAGGAAUGAAUGAAGGAAAAGCACUCUGACUGGCAAAACCCUAAUCAUAAAACAACUAUUAGUAAAAUGUACAGAUCAUGCGUAAGGAAAUAAAAAAAGAGAAAGCAAGGGAUAAGGGAGGUGGGUGGAUGGAGGUGAUGACAGAAGACUAGGGAGUAGAAAAGAUGGAGAUAUGCAUGGUUCGACAUCUCAGAUCAUCAGUGCUUUCUAUCUUCUGUCAACAACUAAUAUAUCCAAACCCACCUCUUUCACACAAACAUAUUAUGAAAGUGAUGACAGAAACAUAGAGAGCACAAAUGAUGGCGAUGUGGGGUUUGACGACAUCCCAAAAUCAUCUGUGCUCUCUAUCUUCUGUCAACAAACCGAACAGUACACUCACCCUUUCUUCGUAAACAUACUAUUGUUCGUUGUCAAAGCAACGGGUAUAUCGGAUCUCGCCGUGUAUGAAAUAUGAAUUAGCAAGGGCGGCGGCAGUGUUUUAGAACAGUUAACGUAGGGUUUUUGUGAGUGCAGUUUUAGUGUGCUGUGAAUUUUGGUGAUGGGGAGCUCUCUCUAUUUAUAGCAAAGGACAAAGGGAAGGGUAAUACUGAUAGGGCACCGCUCCCAAAUCCGCAUAUAGCACAAACCAGUGUUUAUUAUUUUCACUCUCCGAUGAGAGAUAACCCAUCCUACUACAACCUCUCCCUCGCACGUCAAUCGAUUUUUCGAACCAGAACUCAGGAGGUGUUGUCAACCUGGGCUCUGAUAUCAUGUCAUGAACGAUUAUAUCUCAAUAACUCGACCAGUUGGAAGAAGGUUUGUACAUUUUUAUUAUUAUUUAUCAACAUUUAUCAUGAACAGUAAUUGCAUCUCAAUAACUCAAUCGAAUUGUUAAAAUAGGCGGGUUUAUAUUAUCUUUUAUAUUCCCUUCAUAAAAAAAACUCUAAAAAAACUGAGAUUUCCACAGCUACCGUACCUAAAGAGUAAAGGUUAGAAAUAGAAAUCUCUAAAUCUUAAAAACGUUGAUACCCACAUAAGAAAACCAUAAGGUUAGUCAUGAAUCUUAAUAAUUACUCCUACCAUAUCAUGGUUAAUUAUAAGUGUGAUAUAUAAGGUACCCUGAGUAAUAAGUAAAUGAUCAGAAUCUCAAGUGUCCGACGAAUGAUAUUGUGGCUGGACAGCAGCAGGCAGGCAGGCAGGCAUCAAAAUCUUAUCGGAAAUGAGGGCGGCAGUGGCGUCAUGGAAUGCAAGUUGCAUGCCAAAAGAAACAAUUAAUGGGGACAAAGCAAAGGAAAAGCAGAAACAAAUGCAGAACUACUCAAAUUUGGCAUCCAUAUAUAUUUCUUUCUUUCUUUCUUUCUUUUUUUAACGCGGGCAAUCCCCAUUCACACAACUCUUAUCAUCAUCUCUUACGAACCUUAUCGUCUGGUUUUGCGCCCAUCCUUUUUGAAAAAGAAGAGUGAAAUUUGUCCAGUCUCUGAUCAGUCCUCUCAUAUAUUCGACGAUUGGCUCUCUCUUUUACACACGGCAUUUCCCCGUAACCCCUCCACUGUUAUUUCGUCAUGGUAGUUUUUAGGUGUUGGCCUGCAUGCUCUGUGCACACCUCCAUCCAUGGCCUUUUCUUCUAGAGCUGUCUGGAAUAGAUUCACAUCCCAGCAGUUAACAGGGAAUCGUUGAUCAUGCUCCUUCUCUCUCGGUGGCUUAAUGCUUUUAUCACAUCUCAACAAGUGCAUGAUCAGGAGCGCCCUCUUUGUGUAAAUAUCUCUUAGCAAUUGGUUUGCCAACUACCGGAUAGUUUGAGAAAGAGAUUUGAAACACACAAUUUUUGAAAUGGCAAGAACUUUUUUUUUAUAAUAAAGAGAUAUAAGAGAAUUAGAUUAUGUUUUUUAUUUUUGAAAUAAAUCGCUUGAGUUGAUGAUUUGUAAGUGAUUUUAAAUGUAAAUAUUGAAGAUUGAGAAAAAUCAAUAAAAAUUGGAUGGUUUGGGAUGAGAUAUCCACUCUAGUCCAAAAUGACCCAUAAGUUAUGAAAUUUUGGUGCCAGAUUUUAUGAAAUUCUAUCUCAGACCCGAUUUCAUAAAGGUCCUUGUGGAGUAGUGCAGGUGGUUGCAUUGUGUGGUUGAAGAUUUAGAAGUAUCGGGUUCGAUUCUAGCCACACCCCACUUGUAAACACGUAUGUUAUAUUUAUUUCAGUUCUCUAUUUUGUAAGGGCAGUUUCGCGAAGAUAUGGUCCACUCAAUCAUAGAAAUUCCAUCCCGACCUAGUUCUUGAAUUUUGAUCGUAAAUCGACUUGUCAAAUUCCACCCGAACCUAAUUCCGGAAAUUUAUUUCUACCCCGGAUCUUGAAAUUUUGCCCCAACCUAAGUAUUUUGCUUUCCUUUUUUUUUCUCGGAUAAUUUUAUAUAUAUUUGGGCCCAUGUACACAGCUAGCAUCCAUGUAGGAAAGUUACCAACUGAUUCCCCAAAAAUCGGCCAUUGAGCAUGGUAUGCCGUUUAAAUAAAUUAACUGAAGUCCAAAGGAAGAGUUGGAAAUUUUCUGAUAGGAGAUCGGAGUUGUUUUUCUUGGCGAUGGAAAAUUCGUCCACCGGGUUUUAUGACAAUAUUAGGUAGCAUAGAUAUUAUUACGGGAAAAGUUGAUUGUUGAAAUGAUAAUUGAUACAAUCCAAGUACAAGCUAUCAAUUUUUGUUUCAGAUUUGAAUACUGGCACAUGAUACAAUAUUUUAAUUAUAAUGGUAUAUGAUGCAACUAUAGCUGUAUAUGGUGCAGUUGAGCUGAUAAUAGUACACAGACUUCAGUAUCCUAUAUAGUUUUCACAAGCACUUGGGCUUAAGUUGGCAUACAAAUUUCAGAAGUCUUGCCCAUUUGAAAAAUCAGCAAAAAAAAUUAUUUAAAGCCUGUUCUCUGGUAACAACUCUUCUUAUUCAUACCUGGCAAAUUGAUACUACUUUACAUUCUGAAGCGAUUGGCAAAUAGGAAACUGCACCGAUAUGAUAUCUGUCAAAUGCUCAACUCUCACAACAGGUUCAGAAACUACAGUGGGGAUUAAUUCGACUAAAGCUACCCGCAGACUAACCAACAUUCCACACUGGAACAAGUUUCCAGAUGACAAUUUCUGUCGACUAGUUACAUAAUAGGAUCUGUUAAAGCUCACUUCUCACUCACGAACACGAUUUCUCAGUUACAUGAGAAACCUCCAAAGGUUAAAAACCGAUAAGAAAGGGUCCAGCCACAUUUAUUCUUCCUACAGUCCCAGAGCUAGCUUAGUUAGGAAUACCUGAAUCAUGCUGGUGUAGUCAAAGCACGUUCGAUCUCCUCCAAUGAUCUUCCUUUCGUCUCAACGACAUUGUUAAGUACGUACACGACUGCAAGGAGACAGACCCCUGAGAAUCCUAAAUAGACCAUGCUUAUCCCGUACUUAUUCACCACGCUCAAGAAAUAAAGGCCGAUGACGAAGUUUGCAAUCUGUACAACAACAACAGAAAUGUUAUAAGUAAAACCAAGGUGAACAUUGAAGACCAAUUGCAUCGUGCUAUGCGCGCCAUGACUUACCCAGUGCAUGCCCAAUGAUAGUGAAACUGCUUUGGCUCUAAUUCUGGAGGCAAAUAUCUCUGGCAGUAAAAGUGCAGGUACUGGACCGGCCCCGAGUGAAAAUGAUAGGACAUAGCUGUGUCAUUUUCGACAAAAGAAGUAGCCUUUGAGAUUCAGCCAUCACAAACAGCAAGUAUGGGAGCAAGUAGGGGUGGGUUUGAAAAUGGUCUACUUACCAAACUGUACCAAGAACUGCAAGCGUGCCGGAAUACGGUGCCAGGACCUUCCAAGUUAGGGACAAGGAAAGCAGCAACAUCGAAGCGGCCUGGAGAAAUCACAGAUGACAAAAUGCAAGUUAAAAGGACUUAAGUAUGUUCUGACUUUCAGGGCAUCCAUGAAAUUGCUCAUGCUACUUUGUAAUUGAGAAACUGGCACUACCAUUCCCAAAAAGCUUGUGACCAAGAGACUUUUCCUUCCUUGUUUGUCCAUCAACGAAGACGCAAUCGUUGUGCCUGGAAGAGAGGAAUAAGAUUUUAGACCAAAUAAUGGACUUUCCGUAAAUAUAAGAAAAGAACAGUGGAAAGUCAUUGAUCUCACCAAUAACAUUUGAUGCUCCAACGAGGGCGCUUGCUGCAACAUCAGAUCCGAUUCCAACGCUUCGGAACACAGCAGUUGAGUAAUAGACCACAGCAUUUAUACCAGCCAUCUGCUGGAAAAAGAACAGCGCUACUCCCACACUUACAACUGCAUAACAAACACACGUUGAGUUGGAAAAGCAAUCGUUUUUACAUGACACAUUUAGAAAUGACAUCUAAUACAUUACACUUUUUACUAAAGCCCCCAUUUUUUUUGUCGAAAGUGGAUUGAACACUUUUUAAGGUUUGACGUGACAUGUAGGCAACUCAGAACUCUUAGAAUAGGUUUGAGGUUAAGCACAUUCCUCUUAGUUCAGUUUAAUGAUCUACUAGGUAAAUAUUGAAGACCAUUUUCAUUGUUGACAACAUAAAGAAGUAAUUUUGCCGGCUUUUCGUCCAUACCUUUCCAGUAACGAGUACUAAACAGAUCAAACCACCCUGCCUCUGGCUCCGAGGAACCUUGACCAGAUGAGCUCAAGUCUUGCAUGACUUCCGACACUCUUUCUUUCCCGUAAAGUGUCUGUAUGGCCUUUUCCGCUUCGGGAAUCUUUCCUUGCUGCAAUGUUACAAUAAGGCAAUGUUUCUUACAUAAACAGCAAAUGAGGAGAAACAUAAAGACAUUUUUUUUGGAAAAAGAACAUUUAAAAGUAGAAGGAAACCUGGACCAGCCACCGCGGGCUUUCCGGAGAGAAUGCCAUUCCUAGUGCCAACAGGAUGGAAGGCACAGCAGAAAUGCCAAACAUUGUUCGCCACCUAAGUGCCACGAUAAGAAAGAUUUCUAAUUGCAUAAGAUGAAGAUAAAAAAUUCAUCAAGAACAAAAUACUCAACAGAAAAAGAGGGCCAUAGAGCUUACCAUAUGGGAUUUCCAGCUAAAGGUAACCCAGCUACCAAUGCCAAAAGAAUCCCAAUGCAUAUAAAAAGCUGGUUUACAGAACCUAGAGCACCCCGGAUUUCAGUUGGCGAGAUCUGACGAUAAUUACGUUGUCAGCAAAUUCACCUUAACUAAGCAUCAAUAUUCACAUUUUUAAACGGAACGGAUAAAUUAAAACCUCAGAUAUGUAAAGUGGCACAAUUGCAGAAGAGAUGCCAAUUCCAAUACCAGCAAGUAGACGACCGAUUAACAUGGUUUGUACACUUUGGGCUGUGGCACUACAUACAUAUCAUUGAUUUGAAUGUAAGUAACUUGGUCUCAGCAAAAUUCCAGAUCGUCACUGUAAAAUACAUGAGAACAAGGCACAAACCAAAGAAUAGCCCCGAUGGUGAGUGGGAUAGCAUCUAACUGAAACGUCCUUGUUCUGCCGAAUUUGUCAGCCAAUGCACCACCAGUAAAUGUACCAACAGUUGCACCAGCAAGCAGUGUGCUGACAAUCCAUCCUAAUCAAUAGUUAAUUAAAACCAUGAAAUCCAUGAGCAUACCAGUAAGCUAAAAGCGAAAGAAAUAACCACAAGUUACGAAUAAUUGACAGAACAGCUAGCAGGACUCAUCCUAUUACUUGCUAUUAUGAGUGCAGAAGGGAAAUUAUCAACUUCAUCAUAUAAAUAAAUAAAUCAAUUUCCUCUACACUCUUGUUGGGCAUUUGUUGUCCAGCGAUCUUAUGCUUGGUUUGGCAGGUGAAAAGUUGGAUGGAAUUUGGAUAGCAACGGCAAAGUUCGCUCUCCAAAACCACUUAGUGGGAAUCUAACAUUCCCGGCUGUCCGGCCAAACAAAUGUCCAAAAUUUCAUCCAACUCUGCACCCAAUAACCCAAGCUUUAGAACAGUAACUACAAAGGGGAGAAUGAUUACUAGCAGUAUUAAAAUCACUUGCACACUGGGGCUUGGUUCGGGUGGCGAAAAAUGGAAUGGAAUUUUGAACAUUUUCACGACCGGACUGCAAAAAUUGGAUCCCAACACAGUGGUCUUAGAGGGCUAAAUUUCUCGCUCCAAUCUAAAUUCUAUCCAACUUUCUACCUACCAAACCAAGGCUCGACUAUGAAAUUUCGCAUACCUUGAAUGACAGCGUUUUCAGCAAUCCCAAGAUCUUUAGCUAGGUACUCGAGAGCACCAUUCACCACUCUAAAGCACCAAAAAGUACAAUACAACCACACUUCUGAUUAAACCAUAGAGAUUGAAAAUUAGAGCAGUUGUUGUUGUCAACUUGUAAUGCACAUUAGCCAUACCCGAGAUGAUAACCGAACAGAGUAGCUCCAAGACAUGCAACACCAACAAAUGGCAAGACUGUUCCAGUAGACGGUCUUUUCUGGACCGUAAAAUCCCGGGGGUUUAAUGGAGCCGCAUCUUCAAUGUCACCAUCUGCAAAAAUUCAAUUUCAUUUCUCUAAGAUCACAGAGUAAACAAUCAAGUAAAAAUGAAGAACAAACACAGAGAGUAGAAAUGAACCAGAAGAUAGAGCUCUGACUGGCCGGUUCCUGAAGAGGCUAGGUUGAACCAGCUCGGUCCCCAUCGGAGCCGAAUCGUUACGCAGUCCGAAGCAAGAAUUAAUCAUGCAGCGAUCUCUUUUCAACGCCAACGAGUUCGUCAACCUCACGCGACGGCGAUCGGCAGAAGAAGCACCGGCCAAUCCGAGGGUCCGGUGUUUUUGCGUGUGUAACCCGGCGUCGAAACCAAAGACGCUGGCUUUCACGACAAGGGUGGAUGAUACUGGCAUUAUCGUCUAUUAGGAUUUCCGCACCAAAUUGUAAGAAAGCAGUCAAAGCAAGGAAACCAAUUAAAACAAAUUACUAAAAGAGAAAAGUAUUCUUGCUCCUCCUCCCGAACAAAAAUUCCAAAAACAGAAGCCAAUGCGAUGCGGAAGGAGCGGGUUUGAUCCGAGAAUUUCGAAUCGGCUUAAACCACUGAUCACUUGCAAAUCAGCUUUUGACGAAAGCAGCCACCUUUUCUGUGUGAGUUGAUUGGAUCUUCCUUGUUUGGUGAAAGGAGAAAACUUUGGGGAAUUCGCAGAGUGGGAGAGGGGUAGAGACAAGUAAGAAGAAGGAAGUAGAGUUACCAAAUCCUGACAAGAGUUAGGCUGACAACAACAACGUAGUUGGUGGAGAAAUCUAUGCCCUUCUUAUUAAAGACCGAGCUAUCACGAUGUAUUUAUGGAUAAACUCUCAGCAGUCAGCAUUGUUACCCAGCUGUUUUAGUCAUAACUAAUAGUUCCCAGUUCAUUCGCAUUAAUCCAAUAUACUCACCGUGAUCGCGUGUGCUUAUUGGGAGUGAAAUGGGAUUUUGGAUAAUGAUUUGGGGAGAGAGGAAAAAUGAAGUAGAUUCUGGAUUAGAGAAGUUGAGGCAGAUGAUGAUGAGACGUGAGGAAGCCAACUGAGACUGAGCACGUGUGUGCCGACCAUCUCCUUGCAUUUGCCACUUGCCACUUGCCAACUUCUUCAUCCAUGCAUUGGUCAGUUAAGUUUCUGUGCUUUUUCAGUCGGAAUUGGGAUCAAGAAAAUCAUUUUUUCAGCUGGCAAUUCGGGUAAGAUUAUCGGUUAAAAUCGAAUGUUAAGCUGCCAAUUUUAUAUAAAAUACAAUGUUUUCUAUGUACACAUUGUAUAUGAAUUGUGUAUUGUAGACGGUACAAUUUGUAUAACAUUUUAUAUAGUGUUACUUUUUGUACGAACUAUUUAUAAAUUUGUAUGAUGUGUAUAUAUUCUGUAUGAAUUUCACCCAUUAUAUAAAUAAUUGUACAACCGGUUAUCAAAAUUUCUCGAUCCCUGAAAUUUACAAUCACCUAGGUGGAAGAAUUUUCAUCAAUGGAAGUCGGAACCAUCGAAAAAUGAUCGAAAAACUUUCUAAUGGUCAAAUAUGGUGGUAUGAUUAUUGGAGACAAUGAUCUAGCGAGGAGAGAUGUUUGAUUUUUGAUACAACAAAAUUAUUUAGCACAACAUGACUAUUUUCCCCUAAUUAAUUUAAGACGGACACUCCGGUGGAAACAUGCACCGAGUGCAAACAUCAUGUAGCGAUAUAUCAUUAGGUGGUUUUUAUUUUUUUUCUGUGUUAGCCCUUAAAAAUGUAAAAAUAUACAAAUCAGUCAUCCAAAAUUUAUUGUUAUUUAAAUUGAUCGAAAGUGAGAGAAACUAUGUUUCCUUCUCCUCUAAGGAGAAAACUGAAUCUCGAUCUCAUUUGUUAGAUUGACAGUCAUUGUUAAUGGGUAUUGGUCAAUCUUAUCUACGACCAUUAUUUUAACUGAAGAAGAGUUGAAGCUUGAAAAAUUGAUUAUCAAGAGGACUUCACUCUGCUCAGGCCUGCUUCAUAUUACAAGGUUAAGGCCAGACGAUCUCAUCCCAUCUCAUCAGUAUGUUGUUGAGAUUUGAGAUUGUGAUUGCUGCUUUUUGAAAGUCUUGUAGUGGUUGAUGUAGGUGGAUAAAGCUGGAGCAACUUUGCUGUUUGAGGAGAUGAAGAAAGCAAGCAACAAUGUUGGGGUUGUGGUAAUCCCCCAGUUCGUCUCAAGAGCCUUGCUGAAUUUGAGACUUCCUCAAUUUGUUGCAGACAAGCUUAUACAAGUCGAAAAGCACAAGGUAACUGCUUAAUUACUUUACUGGUUGGCUGGGUUAUUAAUCCAUUCUUCUAUAUACAUACAUAUUGAAAGAUGCAUUUGCCAUUUUAAAUAUUGUUCUGAAACUGUUAGCAGAAGAAGUUUAUGAAAGCUGACCAAAUUGCUUAUGGCUCUAGUAACUGUGUCAUCCAUUCUAAUCUAACAGGAGAGUACGAAGGAGGCAGAGGUAAUCGGGCAAUAGAAAGAUCCGGAGGUGGGUGGCUAUCGAUAUAUGAAUUUGAAUAUAAAGUUGACAGCAGUAAAGGAGGGAUUAAGAGGAUCUUCUCAGCUGCAUUUGUUUCCAUUAAGAAGCUUUAUCUUUUAAAUAUUGUUCAUUCUGACAACUGAGAGAGUCCACUUGAUGCUCCAAAUAGAAUGAUGUUAGAAGAUAUUCUUCAUUCCUCUGAUGUGGCACCUGCAACAUGAGUCACGAACUCAACGUUGACACAUAUUUUUAUUAUUGAAUUUAACUUCUGAAUAAUGCAUUGUUCUGAUUCAAUCUCGCUAUAUAAAAAAAAGUCUUCCACCAUUAACAUAAGAAAGAGCAGAGCACCACUUGUCAAUUAGAAUUUUUAUUUUGGUUUUGAGAACUUCACAAAACAAUCAAUCCAAGAAGAAGAUUAUAAAUCAUAAUUUUAAAGAAGAUGAUGUUAAAUAACAUAUUCGACGGCAAUAUAAUUAAAAUUUUAGGUAAUAAAGUAGUUAAUUAUACAAAAAUAACGGUUUCAAUGGCAUAAAAUUGGAAAAAUCAGUCAAAACUCGUCAUAUUGCAUCUGUACCCGAUACAUGUUUUCAUUGAAAUGUUACCCUUCAUUUAAUCUCGUAGGUCAUAUAGAUCAAAAUUGAUCCUUGGUCGGAUCCAGGAAGAAAACUUUAUUAGUCCAAGUACAAAAGAACAAAUGAGCUCUGCAUCAGCAAUAAUUAUUAUUUUGCGAGAAAGCAGCCAACAAGGUUCCAUGGUCUAGUGGUUAGGACAUUGGACUUUGAUCGAUACAAGUUUCAUACCAAAAAUAUUGUUAUAAGGUUAGCAUAAAUGUUGAAAUGGCAUUCGUUCAUAAUGUAUAUCGUAAUAUUGUGAUAUUCAAUAUUUUUGCGAUGAACAUAAUUAUCCCCUAAACAAUUUAAUAAUUAGAUGAAUGAGGGUCACGAUGAUAAAUUUUUUCAUGCCUUUAUUAUUACAAAUCAGGACACACACCAUGUGUUCUUCUUCCCAACUCCUAACACUCAAUAUCCUACACCAAAUAAGAAUAUUCGUACUUUUGUAAUUCAAUAUCAAUCUCACCCAAUAUCGUGAUAUCUCGAAUAGCCAAUUAUUGAGAUAUCAUGUACCAAACAAGGCCCAAAUUUUUUCCCAAGAGUAUUGGAUGGACAUAUCCAAAUUCUUUGAUCUAUAUGUCUUGGAGCUCCAUGUUGUUCAUGAUGCCCGUGCUUGAUGUUUUCUUCAAGGUACGUGACAGGUGAACUUUGAAGGUGAUGUUGAGAUGGUGCUAAUGCGAGUAUCUCAAAAGACCACUCGUUGUGUAGCUGGUGGAGCCAUUAUCACAGAGAUUCUUGUUUUAUUGGCGAUUUAUCCUCGUCUUCAUGUGUAGAUUGUUCGACGUAUUGUCAAUAGAGUUUCAAAUUAUUUUCAUAGAAUGUGUAAUAAUUUAUGAGUUCGUAACAAUCAUAAACAAUGUCUUAUUUUCUCUUUUAUAUUCAUUUGAAUAUGAGUUCGAUUACUCGGAUAAAGUUGAGUCGAUGACAUAAAUCUUAAGAAAGAGUACAAAAUAGUACAAACUGGAGUCUGCCAACAAUCUUUUGUGUGUGAGACUUCCAAUGAGCUUAUUCAUUUUUUUAUUAAGAAGGAAAUCAUGGUUGAUAUUUAAUAUCACUUAAGAGCUAAUUAUUCGAAAUAAUUUUAUAUUUUGAGGUAUGUAUAACUAACUAUUUGAUUAUAUUGAAUAUUAUCAUCUAAAUUUGGUGAUAUACUCAAUAUCUUUCAAUGGACCCCGAGACAAUUUAAUAAUUCAUACAACUAAGGGCUAUAUGGUAAUUUUCUCUAUCUUUAUUAUUAUAAAUAAUGACCAACACCAGAUCUUUUUUUCCCGACCCUACCAUUCAAUAUCUCACACCAAACAAGAAUAUUCGUAUUUUUUUAAUUCAAUUGCAAUCUCACCCAAAUAUCGCGAUAUUUCAAAUACUUAGUUAUUCGAAAUAUCACGUAUCAAACGAGACCUAUUUUUUCCCCAGAGUAUUGGAUGGACAUAUCCAAAUUUCUUUGAUCUAUAUUUUUUUGAGCUCCAGGUUGUUCAUGAUGCUCGUGUUUGAUGUUGUCGUCAAGGUACGUGACAGAUUGGACAUUAAAGGUGAUAUUGAUAUGGUAUUGAUGCGAAUAUCUCAAAAAACCACUCGUUGCGUAGCUGAUAGAGUCAUUAUCACAUAAAUUCUUGCUUUAUUGACGACUUACCCUCGUCUCUAUGUAUAGGUUGUUCGGCAUGCAACCAAUAAAACUACUCAUCUAAUAGCAAGAUAUAUACUCUUUCAUAUCUCAAAGCUAUAUAGAGACUAAUCUCAUUAUUCACUAUUUUGAUUUUUCCGGUUAGCCAAGAAAUCACACAAUUACUAUGAGAAUGGUAUCUUUUGAUUGGGGAUUCUCGUUUCUUUUGGUCUCAUUGAAUUUAUACAAGUAUCGCUAUCUACAAAAUUUUCAAUACUGAGUAAAAAAAAACACGUACAAAGAACUUAAUCAACCAAAAUCAAGAUCCUUGAAAAAAUCAUGGAAGAUUCUCAUGUCGGACAUCAAUUCGCCAAGAUCCGGAAUCGGCCCCGGAAUCUCAAAGUCCGCCAGGCAUUGGUACCCCAAAUCAUCAUCGUCCUUCUGCCCGACCAAUCCGGACGAUGAAGAAGUAGCAGCCGUCGUUCUUCCGUCGAAGGCGGCAACACUCCUCGAUCUCUUACCGUGCCAUUGCAUCGGCGGUGGUGGCUGCAUCGUCGUCGCCGUCCGCGGAGGAUUUUCGAUUUUGACCGCCUUGGAGGAACUUCGAGGCUGCUUGCUGAUGAUAAAGUUAGUGGCGGGGGGGGGGGGGGGGGAGNNNNNNNNNNNNNNNNNNNNNNNNNNNNNNNNNNNNNNNNNNNNNNNNNNNNNNNNNNNNNNNNNNNNNNNNNNNNNNNNNNNNNNNNNNNNNNNNNNNNNNNNNNNNNNNNNNNNNNNNNNNNNNNNNNNNNNNNNNNNCUGUUUGCUGAUGAUAAAGUGAGGGGCGGUGGCGGUAAGCGGAUCGGGAAGCGGCUGAUCGGGAAGCGGCUGAUCGGGAAGGGGAUUCUUCCUUGGCCGCCCUCUGCCGCGAUGGAUCUUCUUGAUCAUCAUAAGCGAUUGAUGAUUGGAUCGUGAUUCAUAAAAACGCCUCUUGUCAGAUUAGGGUUUGCAGGGAAAACGAAAAUAGAUCUAAUUUGGGAUUUAAAUUUGGGGUUUGAUUUGGUAUUUGAUUUGGUAUUGAUUUGGUAUUGAUUUAUGUAUGUUCACAAAGGAUCGGGCUCUGUUUGGAAUCCGAAUUGUAUUAGGAAAGUAAAUCCUUGUUUAACUCAUUGUUAUCCUUGUUGCCACUUGUAAGUUGUCGGAUGUAUAACUCCGACUAAUCAAAUUAAUUAAUUUUAAAUAAACAAAAGUAUAACUCCUAAUUCCUAAUCCUUAUCAGUGACGUGCACAAUGGUUACUUGCUAUACACGAAUAUGCGAUCCAUGGUUGAACCAGAUUUUUUUUUUCUUAUGGUUGAGCCAUGUUUAUUCCAAUUAUUAAUUAGUUCUUUAUAUCUUUACUCUUUCAAUUGAACACUUUGCAACGGUUACUUUUCCCGCCCGUCGCCGGUCGUCUUGUUCUUUUUCUCCGAUUCAUCUACGUUUCGUUCCUCUGCUUCCGAGAGUUUUAUAAUGGGGACAGGAUGGAUUGGUAUCACCACCAACUUUUCGCUCUCUGAGUUAAGCCCAUCAGAGCAUCUCCUUGGAAGUUCGGCGCUACUCGCGAGGGGAAUUAAGCACCGUAGCGAGGAGUUUGGGACUCCACUUUGCCGGCAGAAGGAAGGCAUGGUGGCGUUUCGGCGCUUCCAUCGGUUAGGCUCAUUUAGCAUUGGCGUGAAUCGGAAGCUUCCGCAAAUUGCAAUCAUUAUCGAGAUCUUGUUUCGUUGGACUUGGCAUGCCAGCAAUUCCACAUCUGAUCUUGACGGGAGGUCUUUCAAUGACCGUUCCGAGAGAUAGUCCAUCCCAUAACCCCAAUUAUUCCAGAUACGUUCUAAUCCUUCUCCUCAGAUUACAUAUAACUUCUCUGUACUUAACCCUUCUUCGCCUGCAAUAUCUUUGCUACGUGAGUUAGUGUUAGUUUUUAUUUUUUCGUCUCGUUAGCCUUUAUUUUUGCAGCAUGAUGCUAGUGCGCAGUGGGCCGUGCUCUCCGAUUUUGUGUUCGGGUGGUAUUUAAUUCCGUCUUCUUUCUUGGGAGAUGUCCUUCACGCAGUCGGUAUUGCCUUAUUAUGGUCGCUAUUGACAAUGCUGCUCUUUCGCCACUACUUAGUCGAUCUGAUGGAUUUCCAAUGAACGGUUAGCAUUGAAGAGGACGCCUUGACACACUUUUAGUAAUUCUGUGUCUCUCAAACUUACCUACGCGCCUUACUCUUCUUUACACCAUCCUCUUCAAACUUUCUCCUAUAGCACUUGUGAGGAAGCGCCCACCAUAUCUACCAAAGAAAACUUGAUAUUCAACAUAACUCAACCUUCCGAUCGCACAGCUCUUUAAUCCACGAGCUAGCUGGGCGAAAUGAUCGACAAACCAGAAAGAGGAUCAAGCGCAUGCAUGAUUGCACAAAGUCACAAGGAAACAUCAAAGUGUCAAAUGAGAGGAACACCCACCCGGAGAAAAGAAUAUGGUAUGUUAAGUAAUAAGAGAAUGGGGCAGAGCAAAACAAUGAGCUAUGUAAGAGGAACAAGUCCUUUUGGUGUCCACCGCAGCCAUGUGAGUGAGAUUUCAUUAAUUGAAGUGUUGGACCCAUUCCUCCAUCCCCUCCCUACCUUUCUUCGACCUUCUUUGUAACUUCCUCUCAUGAUGCAACUAAGCAUUGUUGAACCAGAUCAUUCAAUAUACCACUUCGAUCCAAUGUUCUUCUGUUCUACCCUCACUCGGAUCUAUCAAAUUACUUCUUGGAAUCACUCCAAACCGACCUCUAUACACUAUACAUUUUCACUUCUUCUAUUCGCUGACAUUAUCAUAUACUAAAUUAUAUUUUAUAUAAAUAGCACAUUAAUCUAUAGAUUGUUACAAACACAACACAAGUUAAUAUCAUAUUUAAACAAGAUUUAAGGAUGGACUAGUCCAAGACAAAUAUAAUGACUAGUCAAUCACCAUCGUGCAUACAAAAAUAACCCUAAAUAAUUGUUUGAAUGAGGUAUUUUAGUUCAAAUGUAUCGUUCUGAAUUAUUUGAGUAAAGAAAAAGUCUUAAAAAUUAUGAUAUUUAAAAUAACUCACGUUUGAAUUAUAUUUUAGUGAGAGAAGAUGUUUGAAAUACUGCAAUUAUUUACUAAUUUGAUAUUUAUAUUUACCAAAUACUAUAUUAAAUUAAUUUAUUAGUCAAAUAAUUCAUGCUCCUCAUAAACAUUACAUUCUCAAAUACAACAUCAUUUCAUUUCAAAAUAUCAUUUAUAUAAAAUAACUCAUUUUGAAUCCAAAAUGACCGAUAAAGCUUGAGCUAAAAAGUGUACAUGGGAGAUUGGGUUGCUAAAAACUCGAAGUAGGAAACUAUCCAGUUGUUUCGUCGUGAGUGGUGACUAAUGGCUAGCACGUCUAGCCUGGAUUGCGAAAUAUAUAGGAUACAUACAAGUCAACCCGACCUAGCUAUUUCUUUCAGGUAUAUUCAAACUAAAACAAGACAGUCAGAUAGAUACCUGGUGAGAAAAGAAAAUUCCAACGUUGACAAAUGCAACAUGGAAAAGCAAUUGAUAGUAAAGCUGAAACAUAAAGAAAUUAAAAGAAAGUAAUAGAAUAAGGACAAGAAUGUAAAUUGCAAAGCAAGCAAGGGGGUUACCUGUCUUUUAGUGCCCAUGUGCCCUGCAUCAUAUAUGCUUCCUCCAUUAUUCAUUGUUGUCAAAUCACAUACAGCAGUACGUUAAAUCCACGUUCGUUGUUGUGAUCAAACCUAUGAUUACACCGUGUUUGACUGUAAAUAAUAAGCAAGAAUGCAGAAUCCGUUUUACCAAGCUAGCAAACAAAUAACACAACAACAAAGCAAGCAAAUCAAUACUGCACUGCAAGUCUGCACUGAACAAAUUACAAAAUAAUGAAAAGAAAGACAACGCAACCAAACAAGAAAUCAUCAUCAUCAUCAUCCAUCGCUGUGUGUCACUUCCUGCUCUUGCUCUUGUCCUUAUUAUUAUUACUACUGAAGAAGAUGGAACCUAAACCAAACAUAUUCCCCGACGCCACAUUUAUCACCGGACUCACUCGCACCCCUGCCCCGCCGUUCCCGUAACCUCCGUUAUUAUUACUACUCUUCCUCAACGGAGGCUUCUUGUGGUGGUCCGACGACAGUCUCGUCGUCCCCGCCGGCUGUUGUUUUUGGUGCUUACCGGUGUCCGCACCCCGUUUGACGCUAGCGGUUGACGAGGAGCCGGUGGAAUUGCUCCGUGAAAGAAGCGGCAAGGGGCAUAACGUCCUGCCGUAACCCGUGCCGCAAUUCACGCUGCUGCUCCGCUUAAACCGCCAAAACGAUUUGGACGUGCUCUGCUGCUGCUUCGCCUCCUCGUCGCUCCCGAGAUUGUUAUGGCUAUGAUUGCAAUUACUACUCUCCUUGCAGUUUCGAUGACGAUCUUCUACUUCUUCCUCUUCUCGCUUGUUAGUACUCGAGACGUCGCCGUCGAUUGGCGACGGAAGGGACGGCGGAGGUUUCGUGGCGUUGGAGGACUUGGUCUUGAUUUGAGUUGGGAGGAUUUUGCCGUCGGAGAAGAGCUCAUCGGCGGAGGAGGAGUCCUGAUCGAAGCUGGUCUUUCGAACGCAGAAAUCGAAAUCAAUGCUGCUGCCUGGAGAGGCGGAUCGGAACAGUGGCGGGGGGGGGGGGGGGUGGUGCUGCUGCUGCUGUUGAUCAAGGGAGGCGAAUUCGGAGAGGCAGAAAUCGUGGGAGAAGGAAAUUCUAGGGCUGAUUCCGGAGCUAGGUUCUGAACAGAGAUCAACCGCAAUUGUACAGAGAUCAACCGCCAUUGUUAAUUUCCCCCCUUUGUCGCUGCUUCAAUUCUUGAUAUAUACGAGAUUCAGGGAUUCGAGAAGCAUUCAAUUACAAUUCAGGGGGUGGAAGAGGAAACAGGGGAGGAUUCAGAGAAUUUUGGAUUGUUCAGGAAGGAUAAUUGAUGGUGGGAGGAAGAAAUUAGAAACGGAAAAGGAGAGAGGGGGAGUUUCUGAGAAAUUGGGUAUGAAAUGCCUUUCCACCGCUUUAAUUUCUUCAUCCUCCUCUGCUGGCUGCUCGUAGAUAUACCAUGAAAAAGCUCUCCCCCAUGUCUCAUUAAGUGGAUGAGAUUUUUUACAGUCAAUAUCUAGUUCGUGGGUCCGUUCGGUUGCUUAAGGCUUUACGCUCAUCUUACUGUUAUCUUAUCAUUUAAAUUGUGGUUUUGAUUUAAUGAGCAAGAAUGAAAUCAAAGGAGAGUCAAGAAGUAGUAGUCAUGCUCAUUCAGACGUAGCGAUUAGCAGAACUGGACGAUUCAGAUUUUCUCGAGUUUGGCUCGUAACAAAUUUAAACUCGAUUUAGUGUUUGGCUGCGCCAGAACUAAAAAGAAUCAAGAAAAGUUUAUUUUUACUUAUUCUCUAGCCUCGAGUACUAAAUUAUACGUAUAUUUUUUAUAAUUUCGUAAUUCGGCUAAUGACAUUUUAUGUUUUGAUGAUCUAGGAAAUCAAGGAAGGAAGGAAGAACAGAACUUACCAAACAAUUGGAGAUCGGUCGAGGAAAAAACUAGGGUUCAAAAUUAGGGUUCAAAAUUCCUUUUAAAAAGAUGACCAAGGGCGUGACCACUAAUCCAUCACCGGUACGUGAUGAGAGGACCGCGAGACUUGGACCGCAUAAGUGGGCCUGAAUUGUGGGCAAAAAAAUCAGCCCAGACGUUAUAAGGAAUUGGUCAGUGGUUUGGUCCGGACAUAUAAGACCCAAACAGGGUCUGGUAGCAUCGUUCUAACAGCCUAUUUUCGUAAGCCUAUCAAGGGUUGAGGGCAAGGAACAUAUAGUCUUAUCGUAAUUCGGUUAAUGGCAUUUGAAAUUCUACUUCUCUACUUGUUGUUGAGACAAUUAGACUAAGUAAUUUAUCAAAUUAACACUCAUAACCAACUUAUUAGUACAUAAUAAUCAUAAUUUGGUUCAAAGUCAAACCGUCAAAAUAUAGAGAAAAAAUCACAGGUGACACAUUUUAUUUUGUUUUAACUAAAAAUAGUACAAUGAAUGUACUUUUAAACUUAGUUUAGGUUUAAAAAGAUACAUUUGAAGAUCAGAAAAAAUAAUUCGUCAAUUAAUUACUCCAUAAUAUACAAACUUUUUAUUUAAUUUAACUGAGUGUAAUUUUUGAUCCUGAUUCCACCUCUGGACGUAGAUAUAGCCAUCUUCAUGUGGCAAAUACUCAUAAAAGACUUAGCAACUACUUAUCAGGACGUAGCAAAUAUAACUUUAUCGUUUUAAUCAUUUUUAUACCAAAGUUUUUAGAUUUCAUAUGUAUUAAAUAAGACGAGGCAUGAUAAAAUUUUGACAAUUUUGAAAAUAAAAUGUAUUUUCAAUGUACAAGUAUUCCUACGUUUUGAAAGAGCCAAAAAGUAGCAAUACUCAUCGUGACGUAACAAUACUCAUAAAACACAUAGAAAUACUCAUCGUAGGUAGCAAUAGUGCACAUAUAUGUAACGUACAAUUCGAUAGAUGUCCUUGUUGCAAUGUUGCAGAUGUAAUAGCUCAACCACUUACACAGGCAGAGUCAGCACCAUGAAUUUUGGUCACUGUAGAAAACAAAUGACCGUUUGUAUGUGACACAUAUUUGUUUGAUGAUGUACAAGCAAAACCCUACCAGUGAUACCUCAAAGGUCAAGAUCAGCCGUCGAACUCGGCUUAUUAAUUAUUGCCUCCAACUACAACAACAGCCAUAUUUACAUAAUGAAUGUACACUUGGAAUUAUUUCAUCUCUGUCGUCCACUUGGAUCAAUUGCUUAAUUCCGCCGAUAUUGUAUCUGGUACUGCUACUCUGCUAGUAAAUCUUGUUGGAUUUGACGAUUUCUUUUCAAUGAAUUUAGCCUUGUUUGGUCAUGUUAGGUUAAACUGAACAUAUACAUAAAACAUCUCAAAUCAGAUUCUCCUUGCUUCUGGGAUUUAGAUUGUUAAUAUCUGACGUAUUAUGUACUGUACUUUGACUCCAAAUUUUGAUGAAACUUUUAAUUAGUGAAGUUGCUUUGAUGAUAAAGAUGUGUGUUUGACGAGUUGAUAAAUAGUCUAUUCUUUUUUAGUGAUAUUCUCAAGGAAUAAUGAAUCCAAAUUCAUCAUUGCCGAGAGAGAAUAGACAACUCACCAACUAAAUUGUUGUAAGAAAGAAGAAUUCUCUUCAAGCAUACCGUUUUAAGCAGGACGGGAAUAUGGACUUCGCUGGUGAGGGAGAGGAGGAGGAAGUUCGGCGGCGAAUGGCGGAGAAGAGGAGAAGCGCAUAAAUAUUUAUGAGGAUUUUUAUUAUUUUUAUUUAUAAAUGAUGUGGUGACGUGACAAUUGAUAUUAGUUUUUGACCGAUCAAAAGUUUCAUGUUAGCUUUAUACUAGUACUAACAACGUUAUGUUGCGUACGCAACUUAACGAUUAAAAUCUAAAGACGUGAUAUUUUUGGUUAAAUUUGCAAUAGGUGGUGACAUAAAAAUUAUAGAAAAAAGGUUAUGUGUAUAUCGAUAAUAAAUUAAUAAUUUUUUUACUUUUUAUUUAUCCGGGAUAAAAUUCAAAACUUGAAAAUCUCAUUCAGGAUAUUUAUUUUGGGUUUAUCCAGAGUAAUUGUGUGUGGCCUGGAAAUGGCUGAUGGCCGGCCCCAAAAACCAAACAUUUGGCCCAGCAGUCUCUCGGUUGGAUCCAGCUUCAAUGAAUGUUCAGUUCUUACUUUGUUCUAUCCUUUCUGCUUUGAUUACUUCAGCUUUUCUUGUCUUCUUUUUGAAGUGGAAUUGAUUCGUAGUUUCCAUGUCUCCAACAACAGACAUUACCCACUUGCAAAAUUAUCGCAAAACCCAACUCAGUUAUCCAAAUUGUUGUGGAUGUGGGUCACUGUUUUUUAUUCAUCCCCAACUUCUUCCUUCAGCUUUAUGUCUGUAUACAAUUUUGAGCUUGUGAAACUUCACUUCAUAAUUACAGUCAUCCAUCAAAUAUUCACUGCGCUCUGAUCUCACUUUACAACCUCUGGACCUGACUGAUUAUUCCCUCAUCGGAGUUGGGCGGCAAUCAUUGGUCUCAAAACACAUGUUAGUAAAAUUUGGUGAAAAAAUAGCAGUAAAAGACUUUGUAGCUUCCCAACUCAGAACUUGAAAGACAGGUCUGACUUGAAUCAAACCGAUCAAAACUAGUUUAAGGAAGCAAUAAAGAGAUAAGAAUGUAGCCAUCAUAUUGUCUACAUUACAUUCAUAUGAGACUACAAAAUAAGAACAAAUGGUUAACUGUUCUUCUUGAUGACGGCAGAUGCAAUAUUUAUUUGCUACAAACCAUCUUUUUAUUCGAGUGAGUUAAACAUAGUGUUCGAUGUAACAAAUUAAUGUGAAACACCCAAUCUCAAAAUAAUAUUUUUUGACAAUUAUUAUAUUCAUAUUUUAUCAUAAAAUAUUUAAAACAAACAAAUAAAUAAUGCAUAAAUUCACAAAAGAAUUACCAAAGUGAUAUUAUCGUAAAAAUAUUAAAAACAUUAACGCAUUUGUUUGGAUGAUGAUAAAAUUUUAUUAAAAAAAUUAAUUUUAAUUAAAAUUUUCAAAUCAACCUUUUCUCCUUUAAAAUCUUUAUCCCCUGACAUAUUUAAAAUCACCCAUAAAAUUUUCUGUAAACCUAUAAGAUGAUUUCAAAUCAUCCCAAAUAUUUUUUCAAUUUAAAUAUCCAAACAUAUGAUUUAAAAUAAAAUCUUUAUCAAAUUUCAAAUCACCCAUCCAAACACGCAUAAUACGUUAUUGACAAUUCUAAAAAUCCAAAUUAGCUUUGCUGGAAAAAAAAUAAAAAAUAGAAAAGUGAGAAACCUAAAUCAAAUAUUCAAUUAAUAAAAUAAAUUAAGAGUAAAAAUAUUAAAUUUAGUUAAAAAUAAUUGAAAUCCUAAACUUAUGGUUUUGACCAUCUAAAUUUAGGUAUUAUAGGCUUUCGCCUCACGCAUGUAGCCUGCCUGCUAAGCGCUGAUAAUAAUGAAGGGUUAGAGGUAGGGUGUUGAACGAUUAUAUGAAAAAGUAAAGAUAUACCGGAAGGAACACGGGAAAUUGAAAGGAAUUGGCGAGAAAUAAUAAUAACCGAGUGAGAGAUUGAGAAAGUGGGAGUGUGAGUAUUACGAAAUUGAGAAUGAUUAAAUCAUUGAGUUUAUGUGAUGUUUAACGAUGUUGAUUGAAUGAUUUGCCCUCUUAUUUUCGUCAUGCAUGACGUUUGAAAAAUCAGAACUAUUAUUUAACAUUAAUGGCAGAUUUUUAAACGGAAGAAAUUGAUUAGGAAAUAUUUUUUUGUAUGAAAUUCUACAUUAAGAAGAAUUAAAAUGAGCAGCGACGAUAAAGGUUAGAGCUAGGAUUACUUAAGUUUUUGUACAUAUCAUAUAGUCGGGCCAUGGACUAAAGAAUGGGGCCCCAAUUUCUUAAAGGCUUAUGUUGGGGCCUGUCAACGUAGGCCCAAAGGCGGCCUUGCUUGUGGUUAUAGAUAGGAGUAUUUUCUGAAAAAAAUAUCAUCUUUAAAUAUUUACAUCAAAUAGCUCAUAUUAUAGCAUGUAUGAAACAAUAGGAGAAAGACUUCAUUAAAAAUUAAUACAAGGCAAAAAAUUGACAAGCUAAUAAAAUUUCUCUCAUAAACAGUUGUGUAUGUAUCUUAACCUAUCGCAAAAGUCCGACCAAAUAUUGUUGGUGACACAGUCUCACGACAAAAAUGUGAAUGGAUGUGCACCGAAGAUCUGAAUUGGAGUAAAAAUCAAUAUACGAAAAGAAGUAAGUAACAGUGGAAAUUUGAUACAUUAUAUCAAAUUGUAUAGAAUUUGAAAAUUCAAAAAUACACUAAAUUGUAAUCGAAGAGAGGCUCUUCCUAAAGUUUCCACUGCCAACACGAAUGUUGGGGUGCCAAUAAAUUAAGGAGUCAAACUGUCUUUGUCGAGCCGGUGUGAAUAUCAAUUAUCUCUAAAAAGAGCUAUGCUAUGAAUAUUCUAAUUUAGACACAGUCAUCUAGUUGUCAUAGAAGAAGAACAAGUUUUUACGUAACGCGUUCCUCUACCAAGUGUGAGAAGGUAACACCUCAACCAAGAUUUUUAAAACACACAAAGAGUAGACGGACGACUGGUUCAUUCAGUAUUCAAAAGAACGCAAGGCAAUUGGACAAAGAGCCUUUCUGGCAAAAGUUGGUUACCACCCAAUCACCACCAAGUCUUCCACCUAGACGCCUCUUCUUCUUCUUCUUCUUCUCCAACGGCGAUACUUGGCCAGUUUCUGAUCGAAAUUUACCUUGAUUUUCUCGACGGACAGUAGCAGACCUUCUCCUCCGUUUUCUGUUCUCUCAUUACAUUUUCCCAAAGCCCUGAGAUCACAGCAAGGAAGGAAGCGUAGUGGAAGAGAGAGAUGUCGACACCCAACUGGGAACUGCAGAACUGCUGUCAGAAAGACCAGGUCACCUUCUUGGUUACCAUCGGCGUGUUCUCCCUUGUCAUCCUUGCGGUAAUGCUUCCCCUUCCUCUUUUCUAAUUCAAACCAAUUUUCAAGUCAGAUUCGAGUCAACCAUUUUUCCCCAACUGUUUGAACUUCCCAUUCCGGCCACUUUAGUCCCCAGUUAGGAAUUUGCUUGUUCUUUAGAUUGGAAUUAAUCAUCUUGACUCAAUCAUCCGCAUUGUUUUCACUCGGUUUUGUGCUGCUUGAUCCGUUGCAGCUGUGGAGGACAGUGCUACUAACGCCGUUUAAGCUCAUCACAGUGUUUAUGCACGAAGCUAGUCAUGCAAUUGCUUGCAUACUCACAUGUGGAAAGGUUAAAAAUUCUUUCCUCUCCUUACUUUCCCCGAUCUUCGAUUCUGAUAUCUGAACCUUGGGAAAUUUUAUGAAAUCGACCGUUUUGAUAGUUUUUCCAAUUUGUUUAUACUGCAUUGCUCCAAUGAACUAGGAUUUCAAGGAAGCUUUAAUGAAUUAGACGAAUUAAUCAUGGCUUUGCCUUUAUGUAUGAAAUGCUAUCGGCACACUUGAAAUCACUUGAGUUUCCUUUAUCGUCUAGGAUAACUAAAGGUCUAGUGAUAGUUGGUUUAGAGAGAGGAUGGCCUUUUGUCGACACAUUUGAGAUAUCGAGGAAUGAAGAUUUUCUCUUCACUCCCCCAUACACCAUUGCUGGUUGGGUUGUGCAUUCAACUGACUAGAAGAUCGGAACCCUUUGCGGAUAGUUAGUUAGAGGAGGGUCAUUAUAUAAAUUUUUUGCACUCGAUGCUUUACUUGAAAGGAUGGUGGAUAAUGUCUUGACUCCCAAAGUGGAAGGUAAAGCUGGUGUCUAAUCCAUGAGCUGUGAGGCUUACAUUGAGAGAUUGAUGGUUCCAAGGCUUGAACUUGAUCAUGCUACACAAUUAUGUGGAACGAUAUCUAAUUAACUUUCGUUGAUAAUGCUACACCCUAUUUGAAAGGAAAGUAACAUGAUGGCGCGGAUUUUACCCCGGCAAUUAAAUACCCACUAGAUUGAACUAAUGAAAUCGUAUUUUUUUAGGGUUUUUCUAACGUUAUUACUCAAAUUGAUUAUACUAACUAAACCAAGUAACAAUGAGUGAUUGGUUGUUUGAGUGUUGGUGUAUCAACCUAUGAACUAAUGUUGGUGUAUCACACCAUAACACGACCCCGAGGGGCAAGAGAACCAAACAUGUAGUCAAAAACCCAAAUUUGAAUACAUUUCGACACACAAAAAUAUAAUUUAUAACGAGUAAAAAUGUGUCGAAAAUACAAUAGAUAAUAACCAAUGCCAAAUCAUACAUUUCCUUAUUCCUGUGUCAAAGGUGUGAACAAUGGUUCUUAUUUCUAGCAAGUGUCAUGGGAAAAUGUUGCUGAGCUGUUAUUGACUUCUCCAUCCAUACAUUGCUUAUGUCUGAAAGUUUAUCACAAAAGGUACUGCUGAUGGGUAGGUUUCUUCAGGGUAGAGAUACUAAUUAUUUUAGUGGAGAACCUUACUAAUUAUGAGAAUGAUGCUCUUGUGAAGACGCUCAAAAUUUUCUAAUUACUUGUUGGAACAUGCUCAAGUAAUUGGAUUAUAUGGAUUACUGAUAUGCAGGUUGAAGGGAUUCAGGUUCAUGCCAAUGAAGGAGGUGUGACACAAACACGUGGUGGCAUAUACUGGUUGAUCUUGCCUGCAGGAUGUAAUUCUCUUCUCCCCUAAAAUCAUCAUUUAAUUGUUAUUUCUUGGUAUCAAUAAACAAACUACGAUUAGUGGCGAUGCUGUGUUUUGAGCACCAAUAUUUAGGAGAUAUGUUGAAGCAUGCCAGUAACUUAGAAUAUUAGUUCUGCGAGUUUGUACAAGUUUUGGUUAUCAUCUUCAAAGAGACUAGGUGAAGAUUCUUAUGUUGCUUGAUGUUCUUUCUCCCCUGGUACCAUUACAGAUCUUGGUUCUUCAUUUUGGGGAAUGCUUUUGAUACUUGCAUCCACCAAUCUUCUUACCGCAAGAAUUGCUGCUGGUUGUUUGGGUGUUGCUCUCCUCGUUGUGCUUUUCAUUGCUAAGAAUGUAAGUAAAGUGAUUUAUCGUCAUUUCCGCACUAUGGAGUCCUUGUGGAUAUUCAGUUUAGAUGGUAAUAUUCUUCAAUUUCUGCUAUCUUACUAUCCAAUCUUUCUCAUACAGUGGACGCUUCGAGGACUGUGUAUUGGUGAGUGCCUUACUGGUUUCGCUAAAGCCUAAAACUAUCUUAUUCGUAUGAGCAAUAAGCAUUUGAUGGCUGAAUUGCACUUACAAGUUAAAAUCUUCAGGAUUCAUUGUGUUCCUUGCUGUCAUUUGGGUACUACAAGAAUACACUAAAGUAAAGAUCCUCCGAUAUGUUAUUCUCUUCAUUGGUAUAUAGAUCAUUACCCCGUCACUUUUUCAUCCUUGCUAGUGAAGUUGCUCAGAGUUAACUGAUUCAGUUUAUUGAUAUUCAAUUUCACUACUACAGGUGUCAUGAACAGUUUGUUUUCGGUUUAUGGUAUGCAUUCUGUGAUUCUGGUUUCUUCCCUUUUAAGAUGAAUUGAGCUUUUCAUCAGAGUUUCACAGUCGUCAACGUAAAAUAUAUUUGAUCCGCAGAUAUUUAUGAUGACCUAAUAUCUCGAAGAGUUCACUCCAGUGAUGCUGAGAAGUUUGCAGAACUCUGUCCUUGCCCCUGCACUGGCGUUGGCUGGGGGAUCAUCUGGUGAGAUCCUGGCUCUUUGACAACUUCAAAAUACCAUUAAUUAGCAUCAAUCUGAUUAAAAGGCUGGAAGAAGACUUCUUAUGCGGAUCAAUGACUUAUUUAUCUUCCUGCCAACUUCAUUUGCAGGGGAAUGAUAUCAUUUUGUUUUCUCUGCGCUUCUAUCUAUCUUGGACUCGUCAUCUUAUCUUAAGGUAACCAUAAAGUCUUCAGACUGCUUUAUUACUGCCUUGAAAUCCAGUUAUGUCUAAGACGACAUUGUUCUAUUAUUCCAGGAGGUUCAUAUUGAGGAAACACCAGCUGACUAUGAGCAUUUGCGUUCAACAUUCGGAGAAAUCUGAUUGAGUUUUGUCAAAGGAUCCAUUCUUUCAACCCUUUUUGUUUCUGGGGGUUGCUCAUUUACAUACUCUAAUGAUUGGUUGGUGUGCACAAAUGGAUAGCUUGUAUAGGGUGUGCACAGUGGCUGAACCUUUUUUCUGGGUUUGCUUGCAAAAGAAAUAGUUAUUUGUCGAUUCACUGCGAGAAGAGUGAUUAAUCCUACUCCUUUUGUUCUUCUCUAUCCAUCAAACAGGAAUUUUGAACGGUAACAAGGAAAAUGGAAUCUCCCUAAUCCGACCAUAACCUCGAAUUUCAUAGCAAUGGAUGAGAUGAUCAAAACCGAAACCGGUUUUACAUUUUAUAUCAGUUACAUCCCCUAGGAAGCAGAAGCGAAAUCUCGAUCGGAUCCUACACAUUUAUUCGCGACAAAAGAUCGGUUGGAAGAAUCAAUCUCUUACUAUCUUUAGAGUGGGCAGAAUUGCAGUAGCCUCGCCAUCGAUGAUUAGCAUAUCCUUGUCACCCUUCCUCUUGAAGCAUUUCGUUGCAAAUUUGGCGCUGAAAAUAGAAGAAAGGACCGCUUUUUCGAGUUAAAGAAAUGUUCUCAAUAUGCAUACGUGACUUGAUCAUGAUCAUCAUCAGCUUCUUACAUGUACUUGUUAUUCUUGUAUUCUCUAACAUGAGUAGCUUGUACCUCCCCAGUGAUCUCUUCUCCAAUAUACACCGGUAUCUUGAAAUGCAAGCUUUGUGACGCAUAAACAGCACCAGGCUACGAAUCAAAUCAUUAACUCGUUACUCUAUAGUCCACACAUCAUUACCAAUCGAGUAGAAAGAAAGAGAGAUGGAAACUUACGAAGUGAGACGAGAUAAUGCAGGGGAAGAGUGCAGCAACGAGCAUUCCGUGGACUAAUUGAUCCUCGAAUCCUGAAUUCCGAGCCGUUUCAGCAUCAAAAUGCAGAGGGUUGCAAUCUAGACUGGCCUCUGAAUACCGAAGAACGUCUUCGCACGAGAAAACUCUGGUUCGUCGUAGAAUUUCUCCAGUUCUAAGUGGUGGGAUAGUAGCUCCAGUUGACAAGUAUCUAGAUAUGAGACUCUUGAUGGCCACCAUUGCAGAAGGGAGGCUAUCUGUGCAAAAUAAAGCAUUGGACCAACCAAACCAAAACCAGUAAAGAACAUUUCUCAAACUCAGGUUGCAAAAAAAAAAUUCGAAACAAGCCCAUCUACAAUUGAACUACUAGGCUAGAAAUGCAGCAAUUGCAGAUACAAAUGGCAUGGGAAAACAAACUCUGCUGUCAUUAACAAUGCAAAGGAAAGUUCUUAACAUCCUUGAUUCCUCGAAUGACUUAAAAGUUAAAUCAAGCUUUUCAAAGAACUUAGACACGAAGAAUUCGUGUACCUAUUUACAGAACUUAAGACACCAAUCAUUUCAUGUUAGGACUGCUACUACGCACCUGAUCAUUGACUGAAGGCCUGGAAAUUAUGCAGCUUUUGAGGAAGAGUGGACUGUGGAGACGGGAGACCUAAGUUUUCAAUUUGGGAAUUUUGGUUUUGGGUUCUAGUUCUACGGAAGGAAGAGGAAGGGUAAUUAACCAUUUUGGUCAUUUAUCUAUUGAUUCUGUAACAUUUUGUCCAACUUACCUAUUAAAUAUUUUUUUUUAUGAAUAAUUAUUCUUAUUCACCAUCAUUAGGCAAAAAUCAUAGUCCAAACAAGAGUAAAUUUUACAAACAAGAGAAAGACGAAAAUACCAAAAUCAAACUGAUCAGGAGAAAAAACUACUCAAAUCGAUAUCACUACGGCAAAGAAGGAGUUGGUGAUAAAUUGACUAAUACGAGUUUUUAGGAGCCUCUUCCAAGGCCAAGAAAGUGAGCCAGAGGCUUGCAAUCCCACACCGACUUAGUACAUAACAUGUACCUAUUAACCCACGCAAUCCAAAUGGAGCCGCUUUCAGCAAGCAACUUCCAUAUGUGAUAGGCGACACAGGCUACAUUCCAAGAGUGUAGAUUACGAAUUCCCAGGCCACCUUCCUGCUUAGGAUAACAAACGGUCUUUCACGCGACCUUCGCUUUCUUCUUGGUGACCCCAUCCACUCCCUAAAGGUAAUUACUACAACGUCUCUCAACCUCCUUAAUGACAGCCUUUGGCAACACGAAAACCGACAUCUAGUACUGGCUCAUAGCGGUCAAAACUGAGUGCACCAAUUGAAGACGACCCACAUAGCUAAGAAAUCUUGCAUGCCAUCCCAAAAUACAAGCUACGGUUUUUCGGACAAGGGCCUCACAAUCCUUACUUGAUAGUUUCCCCGAAGCAAGAGGGACUCCGAGAUAAGGACGGGAAGAGCCUCAACCGCAAUACCUGAACGCCGAGUGAUAACCUUACGAACUUGAAGGCUAACGGAGGCCGAGCAAUAAAUUUCCGACUUAGCAGGGUUCAUACGGAGGCCAGAAACACAAUAGAACUGAUGCGGAGGCCGAGCAAUAAAUUUCCGACUUAGCAGGGUUCAUACGGAGGCCAGAAACACAAUAGAACUGAUGAAGAACCCGACAAAUAGCAUCCACUCCCCAAUAGGUUCCAUUUGUGAAAAUAAACAGGUUAUCCGCGAAACAAAGGUGUGUGAUCUGAUUAGCCUUGCAACGAGGGUGAAAUAGGAAUUCACCCGAGCGAGCAGCCUGUAAAAGUAAACAAUAGAGGACUUCCAUACAAAUAACGAAAAGAGCAGGGGAGAGGGGGUCACCUUAUCUCAACCCCUUCUUAGCAGGGAAAAAACUAGCUAAGCCACCAUUGAUACCAACAUUAAAAUGAGUUGAGCUGAGACAAGCAAUAAUCCAAUGAACAAACAUACUAGAAAACUGCAUAGCAAUCAGGACAUUACGAAGAAACCCCCAAUGCACCGAAUCAAAUGCCUUCAUCAAAUCCACUUUAACUGCACACUUGGGAGUCACGUGCUUCAAUUGGUAAGAACUUACCAGCUCAUAGGCCAUCAAAAUAUUAUCACUAAUCACCCGAUUUUGAACAAAUGUCGACUGAUUGUUACUAAUCAGAGACGAAAGGUAUCGUUCGAUCCGAGAAGCAAGGAUUUUUGUGAUGCAUUUAUAAAGAACGUUGCAGCAUGAAAUCAGCCUAAAAUCCUUCAUGUGCGAGGCAUUUGGGAUCUUAGGAAUCAUAGUCAAGAUAGUAGAAUUAACCUCAACAGAGAGAAGACCAGUUCUGAAAAAGGAUUGGAUAGCAUUUGUAACCUCACUUCCUACCAACUCCCAGUUUUUCUAAAAGAAAGUUGCUGUAAAGCCAUCUGGCCCGGGGCUCUUAUCUUCAUUCAUUGUAAAUAUCGCACCUUCGAUUUCACUCGGUGUAACCUGCUCAGUGAGGGCAACAGCUUGUUCAGCUCCAAGCUUGUUAAUCAACAGAUGUUCAAAAAAUUCAACCGACCCUCCCAAAACUAGAGUAUCCACACUACCAAGCAAACCCUUAUAGAAGGUCACAACUUCAUAGGAAAUGGCAUCAAUAGAUUUUACUAUCUCCACAGACCGAGUCACCAAUUGGGAGUUAGUGUUCCGCCCCCAACACACUCUCAUUGACCUAUGGAAGUAUGCUGAAUUGGAGUCACCAAGCUGGACUUUUAUGGCUCGCGACUUCUGACGAAUAAUAGACUCUUCCACGUCUUUAAUCUCUUACCACCUCUUCAAGCACCUAGCUUCCUCCUCAAAAGAGGAUUGGCUUGGGAGAAGCAGAGAAGCGGCCUAAGCCUAAUCAACGGUGAGUUGGGCAACCCUCAAUCGAGCACUAAUAUCAGAAAAAUUAUCUCGGUUGAACUUCUUAAGUUUGCAUUUCACAGCCCUCAGCUUGUUAUAUAGACGACGAAAGGGGGAGCUUCCUGUGGAACUUACAUCCCAUGCACUACGCACCACAUUGGAAAAAUAUGGAUGAACACACCAAGCAUUAAAAAACUAGAAUGGUUUCGGGGGAGAUGCUAUUCUAUCUUCAGUAGUAAUAAGAAGUCCACAGUGAUCUGAUACUCCAGGUAAGAGAACCUUCACUUGGCUACGGGGCAGGCAAUCUUGUCAAUGUUCAUUUACAAGAACCAUAUCAAGCCUUCGAUAAUGGGGCGGAGGGCCCGACCAUUUUUCCAAGUGAACCAAGGCUCUUGCACCCUAUGAUCAAAUAACUGAUUCCGAUCAAUCCAAUUUCCAAAAUACUUCAUACUUCUAUCCCAUCCCGUACAAUUAGACAUCUCAUUCAUGUGAACCACAACAUUAAAGCCUCCAACGAUAGCAACAGGGGAGGUGAGCCCCUUAAUCCAAUCAAAGUCCAUGUAUAACUCCUCCCACACUGAUCCUCUAUUGAAACCAUACACAUCAACACAACUAAACCUGCAAUCUUUCUGGACAUCCAAUUCAAAAAACUGGCUAGAAUAUCGUUUGAUAGUGACCAAAACCAACGGCUUCCAGAGAACCCAAACCUUCCCAAUACCAGAAUUCGAGUAUGUAGCAAACAUAGACCAAUCAGAGAACCAUUUAUUCUUUAUUUCAGAGGCAUUAUUUGAGUUGACUCUGGUUUCUAUAACUAUAAGGAUGUCUAUAUUAUAUCUAUUAGUAUACUGGAACAAGAAUUCAUGCUUACGCUUAGUGUUGAAUCCUCUAAUGUUCCAGACCAAAAUCUUCAUAUUAUUUGUGUCGGGGGGCUCCUCUUUCUAAUGGCAGAGGAGUAAAUGGAAACACUUUCUUAGCAUUCAUCCGUAAGUUUCGCCCAUGGUUUUCAUCCAACCUCGACAGAAGAUCAAAAGAUGACCCCCACCCUACUGAAAUUGCCUGAGCUCUAACUUACUUACUACUUCGAGAGACCACCGGAUGGAAUCCAUCAUUUGAUUCAUCCUCUUCCGUCUCAACAACAACCUUAUAUGAGCUCAAUUGAUGGAGCGCAGCUGAAGCCCCAGAUGCACCCUCUCUUUGCGAUGAAGGUUCAGAUGCGGUGACUAGGGAAGGCUUAGCCACUGGUUCCGAGAGAACAAUAGGUGCCUCAUCCCUCUUUCAGGAGGUUCAGAAGCAUUGCCUACCGGUGUCUCUUCUCCAGCCUUUUUCGGUCGUGAAGCCUUACGAGAAGGUUGCAGUCGAGAUGCAGUAUAGGAGCGGGAUGUAGGAAAUUCCACUUUGAUAUAAAAAAACCCCAUACUUACCAAUCCCCAUUCUUACAGAGGAAGCUCGAACAGCGUCUGGAGCUAACAUCACACACACCUUGGCAGUGGUACCCUGGCGAGUAUAUUUGCUAAUCGGACAUCCAACAAGGCUAGACAUACGUCCAACCCCGGAAUGUGAAUACACCAGCGGAGGAACAUCAAGAAAGUGAACCCAAAUAGGAACCUCAGAGACUCCAAACUCAAUGGCUCAAUACCCAUCCCCCAUCUACGCGGCAAGAACCGUUGGUGGUGAACAUACCACAUCCUAUCCAGCACCCAGCCACAAAGCUGGAUCGAAGGGAACUCAAUCAGGUAUAGUUGAUUUGAAGAAGCGAGAUCGACACAAAACCCUCGUAUCCCCAAAUGCGAUUGGCAAGAGCUUGAAUCACCCUGAGCUGAGGGGUUGUGCCCACAAAUUGGCCCAUUGAAGAUCUCAUAGCUUCACAGCCUAAAUCGACCAUCUCCUGGGGAAGAUGGAGCACACCGUCCACCAGUACAGGUGGGUAAUAUUGAAGAUCGGGUUCAACUUCCGCUCGAGUCACCUCAGCCCAAGAUGGGACAAAGCUGGAAGGAACAACUGAAUAGACUGGAGUGGAUUCAGUCAUAGUCGAAGAAGAAAGCGGUGAUGGAACAGUGGCGAAGCGUCCAAAGAGGGCACCCCAUCGAAGAAAAGGUUCCGACGAAGAACGAGAAAAUUUAGAAACUGUCUGUAAUAAUUUUCCUUUUAUUAAAUAUAACAUGGACAUAAUUUAUCUAUUUAUCUUGUAACAUUUUAGUAAUUCUGUUAAGGGACAUCCAAAACCUUGACCUGGGUUGUCGAGAAAUAACGGAAUUCCUUUCUCCCUAACUAAACUUGUCUUCCUCUUCUCAAUCUCCGCCUCGUUCUGCUCUGAAUCACCACAUAUCACCGGAGUAAAUCUCAGAUCACCGGAAAGGCCAUACUGCAACAGAGUCGGCUCAAAUCAACGCUAACGGGCACUACUAAGCCUCUUAUUUGCGUAUACUUUCUCUUUUGUCGGAACUAGUUUCCAGCAUAACCUCCCAAUUUUGAACUUUCAGAUUCCGUCAUCAACUAGCCGUUUGGUAGCCUGAAUUUCCGACUAAGUUACAGACAGGGUUAGGAUUUUCCUGAUUCAUUGCCUUAUAUAGGUGAUUAUUUAAUAUCUUUAAACUCCGCCCGGCAUCUGUUCGACUAAAUGUCUUCAAAAGAAACAAUGUCCUCUUCUGUUCUUCUUUUUGUUCACCUGCGUGAUGGUUUCUUUGCGUAACAGGCGAGGUUUUAUACUCAAGACAUGGAUUACUCUGCUUCUGUUCAAGAGUCUUCACCUGAGACUCUUGCCUGGAUGGAGCUUGCACUGAAUCAGGUAGCCGGCUCUUAAUGUUGCAUCCAAGUCCGUUCUCUUCUUCAUGAUUCCUGAAUCCUCGUAAUGUUGCAGGCAAAAGAAGCCUUGAACGCUCUAGAAGUGCCAAUUGGGUAAAAUCUGCAUAAUGUUGCACUGCUUUGAUAUUGAAAUUUCAUCUGGAAAACAAAAAAGAACCUGACUUUUGUUUGUGUCACAGUUGCGUGAUAGUUGCAGAUGGGAGAGUUAUUGCAUCUGGAAGAAAUCGAACGACAGAGACUAGAAAUGUAAAUUUUUUUUAUCAAGAUCGCCAUUGCUUGAUACAAUGAACACUUGAAUGUUGGAUCUUCUUAAUCACUUAAGUGUUCGUCUUCUGACGAUGAUUUUGCCGACGAACGUUUUUAUGAGUUGUUGAGACGUCCUAUUUUCUCUUUGCAGGCUACAAGACAUGCAGAGAUGGAAGCAAUUGACCCUCUUCUUGAAGAGUGGAAAAAGGCUGGACUAUCGGCAUCACAAGUUGCCGAAAAAUUCUCGAAAUGCAUUCUGUACGUGACAUGCGAGCCGUGUAUUAUGUGUGCUGCUGCUUUGUCUAUCCUUGGUAUCCCUAUAUGCCCACUCACCAGUGAUUUUUCCUUCCAUUUCUCGAUGUGAUUUCUCCAGACCCCUUUUACUGUUAUUUCAGGUAUAAAGGAAGUAUACUAUGGAUGUGCGAACGAUAAAUUUGGAGGGUGCGGCUCAAUAUUAUCACUGCAUUCAAGCAACCCGCAACCACAAUCUAGGUUCAUUUGUCUUAUCGAACAUUUCUGCUCCAUCAUCAGAUUCACUUACCAAAGAUUCAGGAUGCAGCGUAGGGUUUUGAUUUUGGACACUUGUGGUCUAAUUUUGCAGCGGGGAAGUUAAGCAAGGUUUCAAAUGCAGUGGUGGAGUAAUGGCAGCAGAAGCAGUCUCACUUCUGCGAAAUUUCUAUGAGCAAGGGAACCCUAAUGGUAUACUUCUUUUUGUGUCUGUGUCUGUGUCUGUGUCUGAAUAAAGUGGUAAUACUAAUUCCUGAAAACAAAACUGGAACCAACCAUCAAAUGCAUUAGUACAAUAAUGUUUUAGCUUCAACUUGAAGAAAGGAGAAUGAUAAAAAGAAACAGAGCCUUGAUGAAAUGAAAUUUAAUUUUCAGCUAACAUCUUGUUAUUCCAUUUUGCUGCAGCUCCAAAGCCUCACAGGGCAGUUGUUAUUCAGCAUGCAACUGCAUAGCAGUGGUCGAUCCUGUUGAGCAACAUCUCCCCCCUAGAGCUUCUACUGCUAGGCGUUCCUGUGUUUAUUUGAGAAAUAGUUCUCUUCAUGACAUUUUAGAAGAAAUGUAUGAAAUAGUUUGGGCUCAGUAUUUAGCAGAUUUCAUCAACCAAGGAAGCUAGUUUGAAACAAGAAAAGUUCCAAGUCAUGUCACUUCUGAACUCAGUUGGAUUUAGUCUCAAAAUUGAUUGAAUCUCAAAAAUACAAAGCUAAUGAGUGUUUUAGAAUGAAUAAAGCUCUACACCUAGCUCUCACAGAUCGUUUACAGGGGAGCACCGUGUUCAUAUAUUAUUAGAUAUCAAGAUCAUCAUCUGGGUCCUCAUCAGAAUCCGGCCUCUCAUCGUCAGAAUCCCGAAAGUAUAUUAUCUCGCCACCUCCACCACUGCUUUCUUCUGGCUUGUUUUGUGAAUUCCCUCCAGCUACUGCUUCAGUUAUGCUCUCCGGUGCAAGAGAUUUCCGACCAUCGUAUAUUUGGAUCGGUUUCCCGGUUCCUGGAACCCAAGCACGUAGAAGCCAUGAUGUGAAAUAGCUGGCUCAGAAGAAGGAAAUAAAUAACAGAGCUUUACCCUCCAAACAAAAUACCUUGGUGCUCAAAAGGAAGGACAACUUUGGCUCUCUCCAUUUUUUCCUUCUCUGACAACUCCAGAUUGAAUUGUACCUAGUUCCCAAAAAACAAGCAUGAUCGUUGGUUAUUGCUUGCAAGAAUACUCAUUUCAUGCCCAACUGAUCACUACGAUGCAAAUUAUUACUCACCUUCGGCACCAGCCCUUGACUGACUAAUCCAUCUUCCCCCGAAACAGAAGUAAAUUUCAUCCCCAACUCCUCUAUAUGGAAUUCUUCGUUCUAGAAACAGUAUCGAAGAAAAACAACUAUAAGAGGACUUCACUUAGGAGGUUAGCAGCGAACAAUUUUGCAUACAUAAGAAAAAGCAGAGGGAGGAAAGGUACCAUUAUGCGUACGCGGCCAUUUCGGCGCUUGAACCGUGUAUGAAGCUUUCCUUUCCCAGAAGAAUUAUCCACUAGAGAUAGACUUCCCAAGUCUCUUACAUGGCUAUCACUAGACUGGUUAUGUGAUUCAACACUAGCCACCAUAGAGGACAGAUAUUCAAGGGAAGUGGUAAGCUUAACUUCAUGGAUAUCUGAAUGUAGCAGCCAAAAUGUGCUAGAUAUGUGAUCUGCCGACAUCAAACAACGGUGGCACUAAAGUUACAACUGGUUUACAUCAGUGGCUAUUCGUGCUUAGUGGGACAUAAAAUGUAUGCACUGGUGGCACACCAACGAAAGCAUGUAUAAAAGAAGACUAGAAUUUAUAAGAAAAAGGAAGUGAUUUGUACCAUGACUACGAAGGUCGCUUAUAAGCCCUGCUAUUUUGGAAACAGGUACAUGCCUAUGCAUUUCGGCUACCUGAUAAAAGUAGUGAAGAAACCAUUGCACAUUAACAGUUGAAAGAUUCUGGACAAGUAUGACUGGAACUAGAGCAGAUAUUGUUAUGGUAUAUUGACUAUUGUUAACAUCAUUCAUAUGCUUUAACCUUAUCAAGUACACUAGAGUGAUCCGGAGAAAUUCCCACACACUAUGCCAGCAACAAAUCAUAGUUCAAACCGAAGAGCAAAGUGAUUCAAUAGCUCGAUUGUGUACACAGUUCAACCUUUAAAUUAAAGCAUUAUCAACUAUAGUUAAGAAACAAGUCCAAAGAAGCAUGUUCAGAAUAUUUAAAGAAUGGAUGAUCAUAAACAAGCCAAGAUAGCACAAUAUUUUGAGGCUAGUACUGAUAUUCGACAUAGACAUUUAUGACAAAAGGAUUGCAGAAUUACCGAAUCAAUUGCAACAGAAAAACGAACUUUGCCUUGCCCAACCAAUCCUGGAUAUACAACAGUAAGGAACACACAACAGCACACCAUGUAAUCAGGAAGCAGAGUUCAAAACACUCAACGAGUCAAAGCUAGAGGGUUAAAGAUUUGAUAGACUUUACCUGCACCGGAGUCAAGAAUCAAAGAAUACAACUUCUCAACAUCCUUCACAUCCUGUAGAAUGCAAGUGCCAGCUGAUGAAUUGGCAGACGAAAUAUCCUCAACAAUUCCAGACUUUACAAGCUGAUGUUUCCAACCAAGAGGAUCCGUAUAACAGUCCAAAAUAUAUAUCCUGUAGCAACAACCAUCGAUGAUAUGAAUAUCCAAGGCCAACUAUGCAAAACAAAACCUCCAAUUUUAAGCAAAAAAAUACAACCAAACAGAAAUGCAGUACCAAUUCUGAGAAGAGGCAACAUCAACUCCUCUUCUAUUCAACAAAUCAAGGUAGAAAGAUGGAGAGCGCGAAUAGGAAACCAACACUAAGCCUCUGCACCAAAACUGACAUCAAACCAAUCAGCAAUGACUGAAGCUGAAGAGCAAAACCAAAAUAUGACUUAAGAAUCGAGUUGAGUUACCGUGACUGUGAUUUUCCAGCUAAAAUGAGAGAGGAGAGCUGGGAGAGGACGUGAGUGAAAACGUCGAAUCCGUAGGGUGAAGAUGUUGUGUCUUUGAUGGUAAGAGACGGAGCGUGCUCUCCUUCCAAAGCUCCGUCUCGUAGCGUCCUGCAAAUCGAAUCCGCCAUUGGGUACGGGAAUACGUUUUGUCGGAAUGGCGCUUGAUAGUUCCCAAUCCUGCGAAAUAUUGAUCCACUUUCAGUUUAUCCAAGUGUACUAACUAUAGGGUUCUUCAGCAAAAACACUCAAAUUUCAGUCUGAACUCGAUAAUCCAAGCUUACAAAACUGUUAGUAGCAACAAGCUAAACUUAGAGUUUGACGAACAUACCUGGUUAAAGAUACGGUGGCAGUAAACUUGUGAGGCUACUUGGCCGAAUUUGGUGACUUACGAUGGCUUGGUGACAGCGCGGUGGCGGCACGGUGGUUUGGCGAGAAUGACGGCGGGGAAGAGGAGGGCUGUUUGGAAGGAGUCCGGGCCCGCAGCAAAUAGACCUCGUCUACUUGCUGUAGCAAGAAAGAAUCUGAACUGUCCACUUUUAAUAUAUCAUGUGCCGGAUAAAAAGAUGAACUAAAAUUAAAAUAAAUAUUUUUUUAUGAAAUUCUUAGAUUUAGCUCUUAAAAUAUUAUAUUUUAAAUUUUAAAUUUUAUGUUUUAAUUUUAAGUUUUGGAUUUUUAGAUUUAGAGUCUAAAAUAUUUAAUUUUAAAUUUUAAAUUUUAGAUUUUAAGUCUCGAUUUUAGAUUUUGAAUUUUUUCGUAAAAUGACAAAACUGCCUCUAAAUGAGAUUUGUUUGCCUCGGCAAAUUACUUAUUUGAAAGACGACAACUAACUAACCUUAAACCACGGGUAAAUAUCCAUUUUGAUUACUCACAUUGUAAUCCAAGACUAACUAACUAAUUAAAAUUAAUAAGUAUAUCGUUCGAAUUUUAUCGAAUGUUGCCGGGAAUUUUGAUUCUAACAUAACAUGUUAACUGUUAUCAUUUCUAACCAUUAAUUAUUUGUUCAUGACCCAACCGAAAUCCAAGUAGCUCAUGAGCCAACCCAAGUUGGUAUGAGCUCAUAUUUGUUCACAUAUGACUCAAACCUAGUUUAUAUGAAGGAACUCAUUACGGGAUUAGCCAAUCAUUCAUCCCAUUCAAAUUUGUAUUGACGAAAAAUUAACAUAUAUUACGUAAUACAUUAUUACUGAAAUAUCGUAUCAGAGAGGGUCAACCCAGUAAUUUUUUACUAAAUCUUCCUUCUCUUUAUUUUUAUCCAAGAUAAUAAAAUAGUAAUAAGUUCAUAAUAAAUACAACUAUCUAUUUCAUAUCCAGAGCGCAUGGAAAACAUAAUUAGAGAUACUAUUUCCACAUAUUCAAAACAAAAACCAAUACUAUAGUAAAUUCAUAAUAAGUGUAGAUACACCAUUAUACCCAUUAGCGCGUCCCCGAAUCUCCACCCCAUAUCUCUCCGCGUAAAAAGAAGAGUGGGGGACUAGAGAGUGAGGGUGGUUAAUGAAGAUAGUUAUGAUUAUUGAAUUACUUCAUGUAUAAUUUUUAAUUUCGACUUUACUUUUUCUCUUAUCUAUAAUGUGGUUCGUUCAUUCAUAUUUUCCAAUCAAUCAACUUAAUUAUCAAUAUUAAUCGUAUGAUUUACAAUUUCAACUACGAUAACUCAGAUGAAAUUUAAAAAACCAUCUCCGAUACAUAACCUCAAAUAGCCAAAGUGUCAAAUUAUAACCAACACUUCUUUAAUGAAGAAAAUUAAACUAAAGUCUUAAAUGGCUUAAGUCUCACCUGAUGAUGUGUCGUAGUUGAGUAUAAUGUGGCGGGUCAACUGUGAAGCUGGGAGCAAUAGACUGUCAUUUAAGCAGCAGCCAUUGCAAGCAUUGCAUCCAUGUAUCAUCUUACCAAAUGUUCACUUUCUUACAGCAAAGUUUAAGAAUUAUUCCUACUACUGUUUGAGUCAACUAGAUUUAACAUGUGAAGAGCAACAUCCAACCUUUCACAGAAAAUGAGAUGGGAACACAUCAAUGAUAUAAUGACCAAUCCCUCCGAUUCUUCUGAUAAAACCAGUCAAUGAGCCGUUGAGCUAGCCAACUACCUGAGCAGAUGGAACCUCAACAUAACAGGCGACCUUCUUUAAUUCGUUUAUGGUUUAAUUAUAAAAAUAAUAUUCCCUGGGAUCUAGUGUUCUUGGGAUGGUGACGUAGCGUCCCGUUCCCGUCGGCGCGGGGCCACCCAGACCGUCGGGUAUCCGGAUUAAAAUACACCGUGAUCAGCCGAGAAAUUUGCCGGCGGCAUCAUGUUUAGCGUCGUAUAGCGAAAUCUGUCAUUUUACUUCCUCUUGCGUUUGUUGUUGUUAUUGUAUAAAAUUAAUAGCAGAAAAGUAUUCAUCACACAAGUUUGCAGUUGAAAGGAAAAGGGUCUGUUGGCCAAUCUCGGUCCACACUCCGUACACCCACAAGGUAUUGGGGCUAUCUGUGGAUGCUCGUGGAAGUAACUUUUGCCAUUCAUAGAUAUGCCCAUCCAUAUCGUAUCGAUUCGAUUUAGCCGGUGGAAUGAGAUUUGGAUGAUAAUGAAAAAAUUAAUUUUUAAAAUGCAUUUUUUUAGAAUCUAAAAUUUUGAUUCAAAUAAAAAAUGUUUAGGAUUUCAUCUCACAUUUCGAUAUUUCACAUUUCACCUUGCAAACGUAACAUUCAAUUUUAAAUAUAAUUAUAAACAUUUAGCUGUCGCCACCCUAAACUAGCUCUUCUUCUAUCCGGCGAUGCACACGGAACAUGGUUGUAAUUAGGAACAACCUCUACAUACGUAAAAGAAAUUGUAGUUUUAACCAUAGAAUAUUAUGUCUCAAUAUUGAUUUAACUAAGCAAUUUUAUGUGAAUGACUCUUACUCGUAAGGAUCUCGUGUGACGAGUUAUGAGGUUAUUAUAAUCAACUUUCCAUUGAACAAUUUGUGAAGGAAAAAUAAGUACUCUUCUAUGUUCAUUGAUCAUAGCAGAAGUUCAUCAGUCAUGAUUGCUUGCAAAAUUACGAUUGAGUCUCGCUUUACAGAAAUCUCCUCUAAAAUUCACAUUGAUUGCUUAACCUUUCAUGAUAACGGUGUACUCCCACCGUUAAAGAGCUAGGGCCUUGGCAAUGUUACGAGUGGACAUACAUAACGACUGAACUCACGUACGUCAUUAAUGAUAUCUUACGAAACAAUGCUUGUACUUAUAUUGAUGACCUUUACGCCCCUUGACGAUCAAACAUCCACGCGAACUCAACAACAAAAUCAAAGAAUAACACACUUUUUUAGAAUGAGAUAACCAUUAUAAAUUUUUGUACGAAUUUGUAACAUAUUUUCAGUGAUGAACACAUAUCUUAAUUUCUUGAUAAAAAAAAAAAGAAUGGCCAAGUUUGGUAGAACCUAAUAAGAUCUGAGUGAAGCGAGGUGCUGCCUCUAAUCUAAUCCCAUAUCAUUCUUGCAUGCGAUAUGACUUGAAACUGUAAAAGGCAGGUAGUUUGAUCCAAAAGCUUAUGACUGGAAAAAGCAAGAAAUCCGUGAGUUGGGGAAAAUAUACAAUUCUACUACAGUACAGGUAUAAAGGGCAUUUCGGUGGGCAAAGAAAAGAGUAGAAAACCAGAGAAGCCUUGCUGCAGUCAAUUGCUCUCCACUCCAAUCCGCAUCAGAAUCAGAACCAGAACCAGACCGACCCCACUCUUCUUCUUCUUCUUCCUCCUCCUCUAGCCCUCUCCUUUCUGUAGUUUCUUCCUCAAGUUUUCUCCACAGACUUUGUUUCUUCCUCAAGUCUCUCUGUAAAAGCCUGUGAAAUUCACCCACCAAAACACUCGAUCAAUACCCCGCCUACAUUCAUUCAUUCUUGAAUGGCCACCGAUUCCUUAUUUAUAACCAAACCGUCUUCCCCCCUUCCUCACCCCGCAUUGCUCUGAACACCCAACACUUCUUAAUUCUUAUCCUCUACUUAACUGCACCUUUCUCUUCUUCUCCCGCAAUGGACUCUUCCAAGAACCGCCGCCUCCGCCGACUCAGAUGCUCCGUCCAGCACUACGAUUGGGGUAAAAUGGGGAAGGAUUCCCUUGUCGGAAGGGUCUGCGCUUUCAAUUCUGGCUCCCAGAUCCAAAUCAAUAGGCCGUACGCCGAGUUCUGGAUGGGGAUCCAUGACUCCGGCCCGUCUUUCGUCCUCGACACUGGGGUAAUUGGGAAUAAUGGCAACGCAAUUGACUCCCACUCGCUCAGUUUGAAGGACUGGAUUGCUCAGAACCCUUCCGUUCUCGGUGAUAAGGUUUUCGAUAAGUGGGGUUCUGAUCUCCCCUUCUUGUUUAAGGUAAUUCUUAUUCAGUGAAUGCCACUCUUUUUUUUUUUGGCUUCCAAGUGUUCGACCAUAUGCUUCAAUGAGUUCAGAUUCUCCCAUUUUGAAGUAGUUCGGUAAUUGAUUGCAUGUUUCUGGUUUCAUACAGAUACUUUCUGUAGGCAAAGCACUGUCAAUUCAGGCGCACCCGGAUAAAGAAUUGGCAAAGAAGCUCCAUAAGCUGCACCCAAGCAUUUACAAGGAUGGCAGUGACAAGCCUGAGAUGGCUUUGGCCAUUACAGAGUUUGAGGCCCUUUGCAGUUUCGUCUCUUUUGAGGUAUAGCCCCUUCUUCUUCUUCUUGUCGAUCCAUCCAUGGAAUUCUUUCAGCUAGCUUGUCCUCCUGUUUUGUCGGUGGUAUGGCACGUGAUGGGUGUCAUGUCACAAGCCAGAGUUGCUUUCAUCUGCAAUAUUUUAACCCUUUUGUAAUUUGAGCGAAACCUGUUGUACUAUAUUAAAAUGGGAUUUCCUGUAAAAGUCUCCCUUUUGGGUUGUCUAAUUCUUGGGAAUUUGCUGGAUCUAUGCGAGUCUCUACAGUAUCAGUUGACAGCUUGGCUAAGUCACGAUUGAAUAAUGCAGCUUCUUUAUUUUGCACUUUUUCUUUUUGGCUUAAUUAGAAAGCUUUUGAUGUUCACUCUGUUGUUGGUAGAUCGCAAUUCCUUACUGUAUUGGCCCCACCUAGCGGGCAGUCAGUUUCUAUAAAAGCCAUCCAGUAAUUAAUGCAAAUGCACCUUCUGCAGAUCUGAAUUUAUCAGCAUACUAGAUUUACUAGUUCAGUUAAAGCUCUUGAUCCGCUUUGCCAACUGUUAUAGGUUCCAAUUCUGUUGGCAUUACUACCUGAAUAUAACAAGAAACAGCCUUCAGUAGAAAAGGUUAUCUUUGCCUGGAGUUAAGUGUCUUGUUUGUGGUGUUGCAGGAGCUUAAAGAUAUUCUUCGUAAUAUUCCAGAGGUUGUAGAACUGAUUGAUAGUAAAGAUGCUAGCCAACUGUUGCAAAUCAAUGACCAAGUGGAGAGCGAAAAACUGAAAUCAUUAUUGAGAUGUAUUUUCACCCAGUUGAUGUCAGCCAGCAAAGAGAUGACAACUAGAGCAGUGUCCAAGUUGAAAACCAGACUGCAGAGGCAGAGCCAGGUCUGUAGCAAUAUCUUGCACCUGCUUAAACUAAAAAGAUACUUAUGUGCCCAUUUAUGUUGCAAAAAUUGAACAAUUUGUUAGUUGUAUGCUUCUAACAGUUGGCCUACCCCAAACUAUAACAGGUGAGGAAGUUGACUGAUAAAGAAAACCUCGUCUUGAAAUUGGAGAAGGAAUAUCCAGAUGAUAUUGGUGUUAUAUCUGCCUUUUUCCUAAACCAUGUUAAGCUUAAUCCUGGUGAAGCUUUGUAUCUUGGUGCAAAUGAACCACACGCCUAUAUCUCUGGUGAGUGCGUUGAAGUCAUGGUAACAUCAGACAAUGUCAUUCGGGCCGGCCUUACUCCCAAGCAUCGGGAUGUCCAAACACUUUGCUCUAUGCUCACCUACAAACAGGUAUGGCCGUCCAAUAUUUUUGAUAAUUGAUUCGUCAAGUGAAGCCUGUUGAUACCUUGUAAGAUCUCAAUUGGCGUUUCUUAGUUGUUUCGUUGCUGGUAUCAGUUAACCUGUGUCGUCUUGAAGAACCAUAGGGAUAUAGAUUUCUUGUUGUAUAAAAAGCUAACAUAGUAACAUUAAUUCAUGUGUCAUUAAGUACAUAAAAGCAGGAACUAGGAUGUUUUCCCAUGUCUGAAAUUUGGAUGAUGUUGAUCUUGAUUUCCAGGGAUUUCCAAAAAUCCUGAAAGGAUUUCCCCUCACUCCAUACAUAACAAGGUACCUCCCGCCAUUUGACGAAUUUGAGAUGGACCGAUGUUUCCUUCCAAAAGGUGCAUCCACAGUGUUUCCAGCAGUUCAGGGGCCGUCCAUUUUCGUGAUCACGGCUGGGGAGGGAGUAAUGCAGGCAGGAUCAUCGUCUUUCAUAGAUGUAGUGGUUGAAGGGGAUGUGUUAUUUGCUCCUGCAGGUAUCCAGAUCAUCGUGAAGACUGUAUCCGAGUUGCAUAUGUAUAGAGCUGGAGUAAAUAGCAGAUUCCUCCAAACCCUGUGAACCUCUCCGGUUGAUGGAUCUGAUGAAAGAAAGAUACACAGCAGAGCAAUUAUCAAUUCUUUUUAGAUCACAACCUAGUUUCUAUACUUCAAUUUAGUCGUCAUUGUUUGUUGUUUUGGCGGAUGGAUUACAGGGGGUGGGGUUGGGAGGGAGGCCUUAUACAUUUUAGUUUCGAUGUACUAUAAUUCUGAGUAUAGAGGCUAACGUAUGUAAAUGCAGUAUAAGGUAUAGCAAAAGUUGUUAGUGGCAAGAGAAGUAAUACCAUAUUGAUUUGAAUUCUAU